rnacentral:lncRNA from 1 species
CAUAAUAUACAAUUCAUGUCCAGUACACAAUAUACACAAACAAUUACACUCUCCAAUUCAUCACAAGAUACCAUUGCCCAAUAAAUUUAUUCAACAUAUAUUGAAGAUUCACUAGUUUGUUCACUCAAAUUAGGUACAAUAAUUAAGGAAGUACAUAGGGUGACAUACAAGACUUGUCCUGCUGCAAAAUAUGAGGGCCAAGCUCCAAAGAGUCCAAUUGCUCGAUCACUUGACUAUUACAAAAAAUUAAGAAGGAGACUAAUUCUUGAAUCACCGAGCCAACAUCAACUUCGACAUGAACAAAAAGGACUUCCUUCUUUCUGCCAUAUGUCCUUGACAUGAGAUUUUGUUCAAACUUGCGAGUUGCCCUUGAUCCCAAAGAUCUUGAAGAUGUAUUGCAAACAUUUUGGUUACGUAAGAUAUCUUAUAUCAGAACAUCACCAAAGUCUUGCUAGCUCCUAGCAUAUCACAUGACGUACUAUAAAAAUUAUGCACUCAUUGUUAAGCAAUCAGAUUUGUUCUAAGGCAUCAGGAAUAAGGUUCUUACUGUAAUUUCAGAGAUUUGCAAAAGAAGACCAGAGAAAAGAAGGAAGCACAUGGAAGAGAAGGGACAGCUAAUGGACAAAUACGGUGAUUAAAAAGGACUAGAACAAGCAAAACAAGAAAUACAUUGACAACCUAGCUUUUCUAUGACAAUUCUUGGGUCCUAAAUUUGAACAUAUAUAGUGUGUUUAAGUACAUUAGAUAUUGAAUUUUCUGUGUAAAGUGGAUGAGAAAUUUUGUUAUUAUUAUUGCACAUCCCGUGAUACUGAAGCCAUUCUUUACAACAUGAAUGCAAUAGAAAUCACAUUAACCUAGCAGUGCCAAUAUUGCACAUAGAAGACUACAGGGAAAACGUAAUGAAAAAACCAGUGCCAACAUUAGCUCACCUAUGUCUCCCGAGGAGCGCCACGCCUCAGUAUGGAACUCUCGGUCAUUGGGCGACAAGAUCAGACUGUCGAUUCAAGAAUCUGAAACUCACAUAAACAACACAUUACUACAAUGCUUAUUGUUAGUUCACACAGCAAAGGAAGAAUGGUUGGCCAAAUAAUGCAUGCAUUUUGUGAGGAGAGAUGACUCUAGCUAACUAGUGGAGAGGGAGAGAGAUGACCCAGCUACCUAGAUCUAUAUGUAUGGAAGGAGGGAGAGCCAAAUAAAUGUGGAAGGUAGAGUUAGAAGAGGCCAUUUAUGGAGGAUAAUUAGUGUGGAGGGGGCCUUAAUGGGGAGAGAAGAGAUGUAGAAAGAAGAGAGAAGAAGGGCAACAAUGGUGGAGAAGCAACUUAGAGAGAGGAGAGGAGAAAAGAGGGGAGAGGGCAAAGGGGGGAGGAAGGGGGAGAGGGGUGUGUGUGUGGGUGAAAGAUGCCCACAACCAUGCGUAGCAGUAGCGCUUUUUAGAAAGCAACGCUACUUUUAAGUGGGGCCCAAUAGCAGUAGCGCUGCUUCCAGACGAGCGCUAUUGCUAUUAAACUUAGCAGUAGCGCUUUUUACGUGCACACGCUGCUACUACUGCUACCGUCGAUGGCCUUGUCGGGCCGUGUUUAGCAGUAGCGCCUUUUGCAUAUCAAGCGCUACUGCUAAUGCCAUUAUCAGUAGGGCAUGGCAGAGCCAGCGCUACUGCUAAGUAGCAGCAGCGGGUGAUAUUUUCCAGCGCUACUACUAGGCUCCUACCUAUAAGGUUUUUUAUACCAGUGGCAGGGUCUGUACACUUAACGUUCGGUGACGAUAUAGAUAUAGUUGAGUUAUUGUGUUGGUGACCGAAGGUUGUUCGUAGUCCUGUAUGAGAUCCCGGACGUUACGAGGAGCUCCCGAAUGGUCCGGGGGUAAAUAUUUAUAUAUAGGAGGUGCCUUCGUGGAGGAGUCCUCCCUAGGAUGUCCACCUACAUUGUGGGAGGCGGACUCCUCCCUAGGUUCGGCCGACCCACCCUCCUUGGAGGAGGGACCAAGGCUGAGCCCUACCUACCCCUUCUUCCUAUAAAUAGAGAGGUAGAGGGAGGCAGCCAACACACAAUUGCUUGGCGGCGCCAUACCUCUCUCUAUCUCGUAUUAUUUCUCCACCAUCGCGAUCGCGACAGCGCUUGGCGAAGCCCUGCUGAGAUUGCACCACCAUCGCCGCCACCAUGUCGUCGUGCUACCGGAGUACUCAAACUCUACUUCACCAUCGCUCGCUAGAUCGAGGCGGUGAAGGCAUCAUCGAGCUGUACGUGUGCUGAACACGGGUGUGUCGUCCGUUCGGCGCUUGACUGGGAGUUCGCAGGACGGAUCGUGAUUGGACCGCGAAGACGUUCCACUACAUCAACCACGUUCUUUAACGCUUCCUCUUAGCGAUCUACAAAGGUAUGUAGAUGCAAUCUCUCCUCUCAUAGAUGUUCAUCUCCUAGAGUGAUCUUGGUGAAGCGUAGAACUUUUGUUUUUGUUUCCCAUGCAACGUUCCCUAAUAGCCUCCUACUGGUUCGAUAAACCUUAAUUCUUAACUGGGAGAAAUACUUUUUACUGUUGUACUACAUCACCCUUCACCUUUAGGUAAAUCCAACACCUCCUCCAGGAGUAGGAGCCGCUACCAUGCGGGAUGCAAAAAUGCUAUGGUGUUCCCACAAGAAAUGGUUGCAAGACAUGUUGGUGGCAUGCAUAUAACAUGAAACGCCGCUAGUUGAGGAAGUACAGGGUUGGUGUGGGACACAUGACACGUCAUUAUUACCUACAUUGCUGCUUACGUUGGAGGGCAACACCACCACUAAAUUUUUUUGUUAGCACCAUAUUAGUGGCUUUGGGUGUCAACGCCAUCAAGGUAGAUUUUGCAACACCACCACUAGGCUUUUCAGCACUAGUGUAGGCGGCUGCCGACCAUGCCCUACCGGGUCCUCCGCCUGUGUAUGGUGCACUGACAUGGGCCUGUGUACUAGGCACUGACAUGGGGUUUGUCCCUAUGUAAUUAUAAUAACAUGAGAGAUCUUUGGUGCCUAACAUUGAAUAAAUAGACAAACAUGGUUAACAUACUCGCCAUGUGGGUGGGGAGGGGGUAAGUGCCCUCCUUGCCUCCUUGGCUACCAUCAAAUUAUUGGAUGGACCAUGGAGGGGGGGGGGCAAGGGUCAUGACCGGUAGACUGCGUGAUCACCACAUGAACUUGUGUUAUAGCUAGUCGUUGGUCCUCACACCAUGUCACAAGUGAACAUACAUAUUGCAACAAUGUAUUGGAACAAUCUUAGGUGAAAUGAGUGAGUGAGGUAAGUGGUAGGUCACUAGAGGGGUUUUUGUUCGGUUUCUGCUUGUGCUUGUCUGGGUAGAUAUGAUUGGUUUUGGGUAGGUGAAGUACAUUCACUAGGGUGACUGCAGUGGCCAAUUUUCAGAGUAUUAGGAACAACGCAAGUGGCAGUUAUAGUUCAUGGAUGCAUGGCUACCACAAACUAGGGUUUGAUCAUGUGCUCAUAUUUUACACAUGUGAAUUCCUUAUUCAUGUUCCUAUGUGGUUUGACAGGGUAAGAGAAGCUUUGGGAAAAAAAUGGGGAGCAUGGAGAUGAAUAGAAACGGAAUUUCCUUCAUACCCUACACAUGAAGCAUUAUUCUCUAGAGAAAGGAAUGAUAGAUGAAAAAGAAAAAUAUAUGAGAGGGUUGAGGCAAUAAUGAGGUGUCCUAGGGUAUGUACAGUAGUGACAUAUGGAUAUAAAUGCCCCAUGAGUAAAAGUAGUUUGAGGCAUCUACGUUGAUCUUUUCUCCCCAAUGCAAGCUAUCACUAGUAGGCCCCAUCAAAGAAAAGAAUAUAGACACUCCAGUACACAUGCAUGUCAGGCAUCUCUAUUUUUUACUUAAACCUUUUCAACUUUUUACAUCGGACCACACUUUUUCUUCUCAAACACCCGCCUCCUGCUGAGGAUAUCCCACUACAUCAUCCGAACCCAUUUCUCCUGACAUCCGAUCUUAUAUGGCAUGCGGGGCAUCACCGUGGGGCUAUGCAUAGGCCAUGCCUUAAGAAAGUCAAGAGAGGUUGGAAUUCGCUUAGGAAAGGUUGAAAGAAAAAAGAGUUGAGUUUAAGUCCAAAUAGCCUUUCCAUGAAAGAUUCAAAUUCAAAUUCUAAAUGAAAAUCCAUAUAAAAUCGAAGGAAAAAAUGUAAGUGGCAAAAAUCAGGGUGUCACAAUAUUCUUGAUACUUGCCUUGUAUAAAGCUAUCUUGCAUAUCAAGGAACAUCUCUUAAAUUCACCUAGACCGAUAUUUCUGAUCUCUCCGAUACAUAGACGCAUGCAUCCUUGCAUAGCGCAUACCCUUAACCCAUCUAUUCAUUUACAAGUGGUUAUUGCGGUCUUCGAAAUCGUGUAUGAUAAGAGCGUUUGCAGGUGUCCCUUUACCUUACUACUUGUAUGGUCGAAGUUUUAUGCUCCAGCAAGCGAUGAACAAUGGAAAGAAGGAGACAACUGAAUGGUUUUGGGUGUAAUUAUACUUUUUAGAUAUGAAUUUGUGCCAAGUCGUCCUUUUUAUCUAUAAAACACCCUUUGUGUGCCUUUUUCUGUAUAGAAAAAGUGAAGAUUGUCCAUGGUUUGAUAUAUGAGUUCUUAAGGCUCAGCCGCCGGCAGCUACGUGUAAGAUUCCAUCUGCUCCGAGUAUAGCUUGUAUAAAAACCAGUCUCUAGUUGGUACUUAAUUGGUACUCCUACUUAUAGUAUACUAAAGACAAAAGGAUUAAAGCUAUUGAAGACACUUAUUGGCGCACUGGCCGGCGGUAGCUGCUGGCCCGUAGUGCCCGCUAGCUGUCGUUGUUUGUCAAGGCCGGCCGGUCGCAAGUCGUAACCAUGGAUAUACUCUCAUACUACUAGGAAUCUAGGAUGCGCGCGGGUCCAAACUUUUGUAAUACUUCUGCUCCCAUGCAAACUUCAUACAUGUAUGCUAUAUAAAUAUAAGUAUGCCAUCACAUUUCACACAACUUAAAUCUGCAAGCCAGGCAGUUCGGUUAACACAUAGGUAGACUUACUAAUUAAGCUGCAUGUGCCAUGGAGGUGUUGAGCUUGUGUCUUGUUGCCUUAGCCACAGUAAUCUUGGCUUGGUUUCUUAAGCUCACGGCUUGGUCUGGCGACAAAAGCAAAUCCAAGAGGCCACGGCUGCCCCCUGGGCCAUGGACCCUUCCCAUCAUCGGCAGCCUCCACCACCUCUUGGGCGGUCUCCCGCACCGUAGGAUGAUGGAGCUGUCUCGCCUGCACGGGCCUCUCAUGUUCCUCAGGUUCGGAGAGGUCCCAAACGUGGUGGUCUCCAGCGCCGAGGCGGCGGAGCUGGUGAUGAAGACGCACGACCUCACGUUCGCGACUCGGCCACGCAGCGCGACGAUCGACGUCGUCAGCGGCGGCGGCAAGGGAAUCGUGUUGGCCCCGUACGGCGAGCACUGGCGCCAGAUGCGGAAGAUAUGCAUGGUGGAGCUUCUGAGCGCCAAGCAGGUGAAGCGCAUGGAGUCCAUCAGGUCACAGGAGGUGGCCAACCUCCUCCGGUCCGUCGCUGCCUCUGCCUCCAGUUCCAGCAUCGUCAACCUCAGCAACCUGGUGGCGGUGCUCUCCAACGACAUCACCGGGCGAGCGGUGUUCGGUGGCAUGUGCGCGCAGCAGAGCGAGUACCUCCGCGAAAUGGGAGAAAUCGUUAAGCUCGUCGGAGGUUUCUGCCCGGCCGACCUUUACCCGUCGUCGCGGCUAGUGCGGUGGCUGAGCUCAGGGGAGCGCAACCUGAGGAAGAGCUAUGGCGGCAUCCAGCGCAUCAUCGACAACAUCAUCGAUGGACGCAAGGCUGAGCGUGAGUCGGACGUUGCCUGCAGCAGCAGCACCGACGAUGAAGACCUGCUGGGUGUGCUGCUCCGGCUCAAGGAGGAGGACUCGUUGGCAUUCCCUCUAACCUCAGAGACUAUAGGGACCGUCAUCUUUGUGAGUAUCUUCUCUACUAUAUACAGAUCAACUCUGUCUUUUCUUUUCUCUAGCGUUAUAUAUGGACUUGUUACAUGAUCUGCAAGUAAGUGCUGUGUUGCACACCGUCCUCUCUUUUCUUGUCUAAUAAGAUGUUCACUUCAUCCAUGUUUCUUUCGUCUGAAAAAUGUUUCCAAAACCAAGUUCCUCAUGUCAAAUGUACACGGUGCCCUGCCUGACCUGGCCUUGAAUCGCCAUAAGCUUGACUCAGCAAACAAUCUUAUUUAGUAGUUAUAGUAUCAUGAACAAUCAUAGUUAGUACUCCUAUAUACUGACAAUAUCAUAGUUAGUAGCAUUAAUAAUGUUCCUGACUUCACCAACUCAUAGAUUGUGACACAUCUGAAUAUUAAGAACAUUAUAUGUCAUGCACGAUGAUUUGAAAAAAAAAUAUUGUAUCUUGUGCAGUCACUCUUUUAGCUUACAGUAGAAUAUCGAGUAAUGCUAUGUCUACAGAUACUAUCUUGGGGCAUCUCCAACGCUAUCCCCUAAAAUGGUCGCACACUAUCCGUCCGUGACACUUCCAUACGGGAGCUCAAAUAUUCGCCUCUUAACUUAAUUAAGCCAAAUAGCACCGCUCAGCUAAAUAACCUUGCGCCAAACAUGCCAAAUAAAAAAAAGUGAUUAGUAUCUUUACUUGGCGGAAGGCUACUAAUGACUAAUCCACGGUGCUAGCAUAGCUUCCAUCAAAGCCACCUGCUUGCUUCCGCCAAAUGAAGUGAACUAAUAUGCUUUAAUAUGCUUGCUUCCGACUUCCACAAAGCCUCCGGUUUGCUUCCGAUUUGGGGAAUUUUGGAUGACCGGACUGGUCCACGAUCCGAUGGGGUACCGCGUUGGAUGCAAAAUUUGCGUCCAAAUUGGUCGGUCAGGACAGUUGCUUAUGGUUUGAAUUCUGCCCAGAUUGGAAGGUCUGGGUGGAGAUGUCCUUGUUGAUUAAGCAAGCAGGAUGACAUCGUAGAAAGAGUUUAAAUCACGGAGUGUAUUUUAUGGAAGCAGUUAAAAUCAUGGGGGUGAUCGACCGUAGGAUUUAGUCCCUAAUAUCCCUUUUGAAAGUCUAGGAUUAUCGGUAGAACAUCUAGUAUGCCGCCUUGGUUAGGUAAUUUGUCUCACUUGGAAUUUGCAUAUUUCAUCUUCUUUCCGAUAAUCACUAUUUAUUUUAUAUAUCUCACAUAUGCCCGACCUUUUAUUUCUAGGACAUAUUUGGAGCUGGUAGUGAGUCUUCCGCAACCACUUUGGGGUGGGCUAUGUUGGAGCUCAUGAAAAACCCUGAAGCGAUGGUGAAGGCUCAAACAGAAGUCCGGAAAGUGCUAGGUCAAGGACGUGUUGUCAUCACAAAUGUUGACCUUGGUGAACUACAUUUCUUACAUAUGAUCAUCAAGGAAGUGCUUAGGUUGCAUCCUCCUGCUCCUCUACUUGUCCCUCGUGAGGUUAGAGACGACUGUGAAAUCAUGGGUUAUGACAUUCCUAAGGGCACCAAAAUACAUGUUAAUGCCUUCGCAAUCUCUAGAGAUCCUAGAUAUUGGGAAAAUCCUGAAACUUUCAUACCCGAGAGAUUCAACAACAACACAAUAGAUUAUAAGGGAACAAACUUUGAGUUCAUCCCUUUUGGUGCUGGACGACGCCAGUGCCCUGGGAUGUUGUUUAGCACAUCAACCUUGGAGAUCGCAUUGGCCAAUCUUCUCUACUACUUUGACUGGGCGCUUCCUGAUGGGGCCAGCCCGAACACGUUAGACAUGUCCGAAAAGUUUGGCAUAGCUGUACGUCAAAAGUAUGACUUGCAGCUCAUAGCUAUUCCAAGUACAUAGUCUCAAGAGCUAUCUAAAUAUGGACACGGAAAUGCACGUGCGUAUGUCUAUACAUCCUUUAUAUGAGUGUUUAUGUCUCGCACUGUAAUCCUCCAUAAAAUAAUAAUGAAAUCUUAUUUGUGCAACUAUGGUUUCUUAUUACUCUCCAUCUGUGCAUAAUUGUAGGUACCUAAUUGUACUAUCAAAACAUAGAAUAUGAAUUAGGUACAACAUUUAUCUAGGAUGAAAUGUUCGAUUCACUAAUUAUGUUGGACAUAUAAUAACGGUGCAGAUUUUGUGUCUAUGGUUUUUUAGAAACACAGUACAAGCACAAAAGCUUACAUACACACAUGCACACUCAUCUCUAUGAAUGCACGUAUACACACUCUAUCAUGAUACUAGGGAUGCAUUGGUGGGAGACAAGCACGGCGUGUUGAUCGAUCACUUCUGCCAUUCCACUGGUUAAAAUUUAUCAGAGUCCAAGCAUGAUUUGGUCGCUGAAAGCUCAAGAUCAGGUUAUUUAGCAGCAUGUGGGCGUAAUUUAUCGUCCCACUGAUGUGAACCUGUGGAAAAUAUAUUUUGGACCUGCCAAAACAAGCAACUGGAAGUUAUAACUUCAAAGUUUUUGUAUAUCAAAAAGAGUACGUAGACUGAUACAUAAUGUCAAAGUUUUUCUUUCGAAUUGGAAAGAAAGGCACUGAAGAAAUUGAAAAUAACAAGUGGGGGCCUGCACAAAAACUGAAGAGGAAAGACAUCAGGAAAAGUGUUUCCAAAUCCUCAAAAUGUAUUCCAACGGGACAUGUUCUGAAGAAAUAGUUACAAAAGGUUAAAACAGAAGUAAAAAAGCACGCCAGGCAAACAAGGAGUAAUUAAACAGCAUUUGAGCAGUCACGUACUGAAGAAAUAUAAAACAGGGGUACUGUUAACAAGUGGGGGCCUGCUCAGAAUGAACAUGAGGCAACCCAAAAAAACUGAAGCCACACAAAGACAGCAUGGGAAAUAAAAAUAGAAUUGCUAUGAAGAUCAUGUGUAAAAAAAGUGUUCUAAAUCUCAAAACAGAACAAGUGAAAAAUAGUCACAAAAGAGAAGCACGCCAAUAAGGAGAAAUUAAACAGCAUAUAGCACAGGAGGCAAACAAUUUCACACGAAUAUAACGAUCGAUUGCAAUCAUCAGUUCUGAGCCCAGCUCGGCCGGCAACAAACAUGCUCACUCGAUUUAACCGACGAUGACCAUAGUUGUUUAUAGGGAUCAGCUAUAUAAUGAUGAAUGAAAGUAUUUCCUGACACACAGCUAUCCUACCUGAUCCAUAGGGAUCAGCGAGUCAUUCCACCCGGCCUCGAUGCUGCUGUGUUGUGUUAGGUUCGAAAGUUUGGUUCUAGAUGGUGGAUUCGGGAUUGACCAACCGUUCAUGAAGUUCAUCAGCAUGAAGAAGGAAGGGGAAUAGCAAAGUGUCGGGGUAAUAUUUAAGCCAUUAAGGAUAUAUAUGUAAAAAAUAUUCAAACAAAUAAUAUUAAAUCAAUUUAAAAAAUAUGAAAACUCCUACAAAGCGCAUGAUCUGUGUUUACAUGUAAACCAAAUAUAUCGAGCUAUAUAAGAUAAAACAUAUAUUUAGAUAUACUCCUUCCAUUUGAAAUUAUUUGUCAUAAAGAUAAAUAAAAACAGAUGUAUCUAGAAUUAAAAUACAUCUAGAUACAUUCAUUGUUCUAAAAAAUAUAUUCACAUACAGCUUUCUGAUUGACAGAAAGAAAGCACAUGGCCCGUCUACUUUUUCUGAUUGGUUGAAAAGGUAUGUGCUUCUCAAUGAUUGGUUGAAAUAAAAUAGCUUGGAAUCAGACGUGUCAAAGUAGCAAACGAAUUCUCAAAAAAGAAAAAAAGAAAAAAGUAGCAAACACGUAUUGGAUGGAGGGUCACUGUGCAUGCAGCACGAUGAUACCUAAUGCACGAUGCAGGGUCAGUAGCAAACACGUAUCAUUAUUCUUUCAACUAGCGGCGAAGGCAUUAUCUUUGUCAUGGCAAGAAUGUUUAGAAAUAAAUAAUUAUAUUACUUAGAUAAUAAUGUAUGACAGUCGUAUUCAUUUGGCUGUAAUGAUAUAUUAGUACAUAUAAUCAAAGUUUAGGUCCCAAGGUUGGACCAAAUUGUGCGUCACAAUUCAUCUACUACUAGUACUACUACUAAAAAAGCAAGAGAGAGGGCAGAUUCAACUAAGCAUAUUAACCGUUUGAUUAGUCAUCUAAUGGUCUAAAAUCCCAGUUGACGAAACACACCAACAAAACGAAACACUACUAAUCCCCUUACCGCUUCUCUCUCUGCGCACGUCCUUUCUUGCUGCCGCCAACUGCUCAAGCACACCGCUCCUUCUCGCCGCCAACCCCUCGGUCACGCCGGACGCCGCUCCUCGCUGCCAACCGCCGCACACGACUCUGCAAGGGGCCAUGCUGACCGGUAGGGAGAGCCUGGUCCGCCUCAUUGGUCGCCGCCGCAGCACCCCUCUCUCCGCCGACCUCGUCGUUGUCCUCCUCUCGCCCUCCCGCUCCACCUCCCACCCAAACACCAAGCUACCCGCCGGUCCUCUUCUACCCGUGCCAUCUGUCUCAUGCCUAAUGCUCCUCCGAUUUUCUCCAGACCGACGACGCGGGCGCGGGUGUGGGCGAGGCGGAGGGUGAAGCGGCCGCUGUUGCCCCUUCUUUGUCCUUGUCCGGAGGGAGCGCCGGCUCGGAGCGGGUGGCGUGCCCCGUCUGUCGCGAGUUCACCCCCGGCUCCGACUACUGCAUCAACACCCACCUAGGUCCGUACCACGCGUCCGCGAACCCCAACACAUCUCCAGUUCCCCAGAAUCAGUGGAACACUCACUUCUCUUGUAAGCUUGCUUAGCCGUGGUACUAUUCCUAAUGCUUCUUGCGUUGACCUUGACGAAAUCUUUGCUGGACAAUCACAACCUUGACGAAAUCUUUGCUGGACAAUCACAACCCAAGUACGUAAAUGCCUAGAUCCACCCAGUUAGGUACUUCUUUAUUACAAGUUCAUGUUCAUGUGCUCGCCUGCUUUUGCAGUCGCACUCUUUUGUUGUCAUUUUCAGUCAAUCACCGGCUUAACCAUGCAUACUGUCUUGUGUCUUGGUUGAUUCAGUAGGAUAAUUGGGCUCUAUUCAGUUUUUCUCUGGGUGUAAGGGGAUGCAUAGGAAGAUUUGCCAUGCUUAACAAUGCUAUAAUGUUCUGAAGAAUUCGGUUUUCACAUGAACUGUGCAGAUAUAUGCCUCACGAGAGGACCGAAAUGGAAGUUCUAGAGCAGCUUUCUCGAUUUCAGAUUCAGUAAAAAAACAGUUGAGCCUACUCCAGACAUAGUGACCAAUGUUCACAAGACAGAAAACAAGGGACUGACGGAUGGAGAUGUAUGUACUGACAAAGAAUUUUGCUCCAUGAAUAGUGGCACCAGAAGUCCGGAGAAUAGCGCAACCGCCUUAUUAGCUGGUUGUCUGGAUGGUUCACCUGGCAUCUCCGAGAUGCAUAAUACAUGUACACCUUCAAAUGCUGGUUUGGCAAUGUACACCUUCAAAUGCUGGUUUAGCAAUUACGAAGAACGUUGAAAAUGACAAUGCAGUUGAGAAGGCCUCUUCCUUCUCACUUUCAGGAGGAACAACUUCUGUCAGUACCAAUGUAUCUCUAAACGCGGAUUCUAGCACCACAUUAGCUGUUGAAACUGUCAUAGUGGGCCAGAGAUUCCGUGAAAAAUUUAAAUUGCAAGAAGGCAUGAGCAUUACUAUUUUAAGAAACCCCCAGAAUGCCAAGGACCCUGAUGCUGUCAAAGUUUCCAUCCUUUAUGAAUGAGUUAUAUUUUCUGCUGACAUCCCAUUCAUGUUGAUUUUUUUUUUCUUAAUACAAUGGAUAUGUGCUUUAUGCAGGGUCUGAUUGUGGGCAGAUGCUUGGGUAUGUGCCUCAGCUGGCUAAAGUCUUGGCUCCUCUACUGGACACACAUUUUAUUCAAUGUGAGGUGAUUCCUUAUCACAUUGCAAAAGAAGUGUAAUAUGUCAUACUGUUUUUAGGUCCUCAAGAGUUAUAUAGGCUGCUCUCUUGUUGAAUAAACAUAUGCCGUCAACUUUAAGCAUAAUGAUUAGUGGUGAAUAAACUAGCCUUGAAUACCUGUAAUAGGUUAUCUUAGAAAUCUCACUCCAUGCCAUCUUAGUGAAUGCCCGCUGAUGCUAAAUAGACACAGUAAAUUAACUUCGAAUAGUCAGGCUACAAGUUUUAAUUUGGAUCUGCCCAUGGAUAGAACAAGUGUAACAUCAUAUACGAUCUCUCUGUAUAUUUCUGCUCUCAUAUUUUAGCCAAUUUUCUGCUAAUUGACUAUAAACCUUAAUGCAUUGGGUGAACUACUACCCACUUGUGCCAAGAAGUCAUGGGUUCGAUGCCCUCUCUGCAUUUCACUGGGCAGGGGUAAGGCUUGUCUCGUACAAUAUUUCACCAGACCUCACCUGGUUUGGGAGCUUCUAGCACUCGGUCUGUCCUUUUCAUACCCAGCAGUGGAAAGGAUAGUCUAGGGCAUCGCCUGUUCUGCAUAAAUUUCAGUCAUGAGCUAUGUCACCAUGUUAAUCACUUUGGGUGGUUGUCUUGUGUUUGUAAUUUAAGCUGUUUUUUCAGUAGUCGGUCUCAACGAGUUUUCUCAGACAAGCAGUUUAGGGUAUUUCUCUCAAACUAUAGGCAGAUCACCACUGUUUUAGUCAGGAUUCCAACAAAGUUCAGUUUGUAUGGAAACCUACUCUACUCGUAGAGAAAGUUCAGUUUGAAUAAAGUUUUGCAGGAUCGGGAGAUACAUUGCCUAACUAUAAAUCACUGGAAUGGAAUGAACCGACUUCAUAUCCAUUUAUAUUCAGGGCAAGCAGCCCUUGAAGUCACUGGAAGCCCACGCUAGCUGUGUAAGCAGUUAAGUAGAAUAACACGUAUACUCUGGUGUAAACAGAUCCUUAAUCAGAAUUAACACUCUCUUUAAUCCUUAAUCAGAAGUAUAUUCGUUGGAGAAAUAUUAGUGUUGAAGUCAAAUAUUAUGCCCAGGCAUCAUUGCCAUAUUUUUCUUUUGUACUGCUCUCUCUUGAUUGUCACUCGUCCAGGUUGUCGGUUGGGAAGAGGUGUGGUGGCGGCCAAGACGAUAACAAGGGGAAGCCAAAGUCCCCUGGAUGUCGUGUUCAUCACAUGUCCUUUCUCUUCCAUUUUUCUUUUUUUGUACUUUAUCCUAGAGGCUUUCUGUGGAAAAUUAGGUUCAAAACACAAAUGUAGAUUUUAAACUACUCUUUUGGUUGUUAUUGCUCUGUCCUUCAAAUUCUUUUAAGAAAAAUUGGAAGAUAAAUACAAUAAUGAUGCACCUCUGUAGUUGUAUUACAUAUUUAUUCUAGCCAAUUCGAAGGUUUGUCCCAAGUGCAAGCAAACUGUUGAAAACAUAAAUACAUUAUGAACUGACAGAUCAACUAGCAACCUGUUGAUUUCCGAUUCUCUGAAACUUGAUCAUUAUAACUCUAUAGUAAGUCAGUAUUGUUCAAGGCUUUCUGAACAUGCAUAUUAGUACAUACACAUACAAGUUUGGUGUUAAGGUUCGCUAAAAUAUUUGUACAUGUUUGACAAAUUCGAGCUGGGAUGUCGCUGUUUAGUUUUCUGAAUAUGCUUUGUUAUUAGUGAGGUUCUCUUUCAGAAAAGAAAUGUCAGUUAGGUUGGCUUUGCAAUUGCUACUGCACUAGCUGAGCUUAACCUUAGCAAAAUGGGGCUGCAAGACAAUUGUAUUUUAUUGUUCACUAUCCAACACAAAACUGAGCAUGAAAUUUAUGCCUCUUUCUUGUCUGCAUCAGUAGCUUUCUAACUCCUAACUUAUCAAAUUUAAUGACCAUUUUGUUAUCCAAAUCACUAAUAAGGUUAUGUUGUUAAUACAUAGAUCUUUUUUACCAGUUCAAGAAUCUUAACACCCAAGUUAUCUGAAAACUUAAAAUAGAUAGCAUACAAAUUUUUCUAUCCGUGUCCGGUAUACUAUGAAAUAUCAACUAUUAUAAUUUUUGUGGAUGCCUAUAUUUCUCCAAAGUUUCUUGCUGAAGACGUAGUUUUUUCCUUGUUGGCUCCAUAUACUAUAUUUCAGACGAUCUUUAUGUUGGGUAACGUAGCAUAAAUUCAAAAUUUUCCUACGCAUAUUCAGAUCUUCCUAUGGAGAGACUAGCAACGAGAGAGGGGUAAGAGCAUCUUCAUACCUUUGAAGAUCGCUAAGCGGAAGCGUUGCUAGAACGCGGUUGAGAGAGUCAUACUCGCAGCGAUUCCGAUCUAGUGCCGAACUACGGCACCUCCGCGUUCAACACACGUGGAGCCCGGUGACGUCUCCCGCACCUUGAUCCAGCAAGGAGGAGGGAGAGGUUGGGGAAGAACUCCAGCAGCACGACGGCGUGGUGUCGAUGGAGAGACGAGGUCUUCCGGCAGGGCUUCGCCAAGCACCGGCACAGAGGAGGAGAAAGAAGAGCAGGGCUGCGCCGAGGGAGAGGGAAAAGUAUGAUCUCCAAUGGCCAAAAGUGCCCACUAUAUAUAGGGGGAGGGCAGAGGGGGUGCGGCAGCCCCCCCCAAAUGGGAGGUGCGGCGGCCAGAGGGGGGAGGAGGGGGUGGCGCACCAACUGGUGGGCCUUAGGCCCACCUGGCUUAGGGUUUGCCCCCCCUUUUCUCUCCCUUGCGCAAUGGGCUGAGUGGGGAGGCGCACCAGCCCACCUAGGGGCUGGUUCCCACCCCCACUUGGCCCACCUUACCUCCCGGGGUCGUUGCCCCCUUCGGUGGUCCCCCGGGGCCACCUCCGGUGGUCCCGGUGGUCCCAGUACGUUACCGGUGAUGCCCGAAACACUUCCGGUAUCCGAAACCAUCCNNNNNNNNNNACACCAGCCCACCUAGGGGCUGGUUCCCACCCCCACUUUUCCCACCUUACCUUCCGGGGUCGUUGCCCCCCUUCGGUGGUCCCCCGGGGCCACCUCCGGUGGUCCCGGUGGUGCCGGUACGUUACCGGUGAUGCCCGAAACACUUCCGGUAUCCGAAACCAUCCGUCCUAUAUAUCAAUCUUUACCUCCGGACCAUUCCGAAGCUCCUCGUGAUGUCCGGGAUCUCAUCCGGGACUCCGAAAAACUUUUGGUAACCUCGUAUAAUAAUUCCCUAUAACCCUAGCGUCAUCGAACCUUAAGUGUGUAGACCCUACGGGUUCGGGAGACAGGCAGACAUGACCGAGACACCUCUCUGGCCAAUAACCAUCAGCGGGGUCUGCAUACCCAUGGUGUCUCCCACUUGCACCACGAUGAUCUCAUCGGAUGAACCACGAUGUCAAGGAUUCAACCAAUCCCGUAUACGAUUCCCUUUGUCUGUCGGUAUAGAACUUGCCCGGGAUUCGAUCGUCGGUAUACCUAUACCUUGUUCAAUCUCGUUACCGGUAAGUCUCUUUACUUGUUCCGUAGCACGUCAUCGUGUGACUAACUCCUUAGUCACAUUGAGCUCAUGAUGAUGUUUUACCGAGUGGGCCCAGAGAUACCUCUCCAUCACACGGAGUGACAAAUCCCGAUCUUGAUUCGUAUCAACCCAACAAACACUUUCGGAGGUACCCGUAGUGCACCUUUAUAGUCACCCAGUUACGUUGUGACGUUUGAUACACCCAAAGCACUCCUACAGUAUCCGGGAGUUGCACAAUCUCACGGUCGAUGGAAAAGAUACUUGACAUUAGAAAAGCAUUAGCAUACGAACAAUACAAUCUAGUGCUAGGCUUAGGAUUGGGUCUUGUCCAUCACAUCAUUCUCCCAAUGAUGUGAUCCCGUUUAGCAACGACAUCUAAUGCCCAUGAUCAGGAAACCAUGAUCAUCUAUUGACUAACGAGCUAGCCAACUAGAGGCUUGCUAGGGACACAUUGUGAUCUAUUUAUUCACACAUGUAUUACUGUUUCCUGUUAAUACAAUUAUAGCAUGAACAAUAGACGAUUAUCAUGAACAAGGAAAUAUGAUAAUAACCAUUUUAUUAUUGCCUCUAGGGCAUAUUUCCAACACUUUAUAAUUUUAUUAGAUGUUUAAAUAGCCUUGGUUAUCCCAAUAUGUAGUAAACACUUUAUGCCUAUUAUUGUGCGGAAUAUUUUUCCUUGUUGGCUCCAUAUACUAUGCAUAUGUAUUUUUACCUAUGGUCUACUACUAAACUAUCUAUGUUAAACAAAGGAUGUCAUCUCCAUAGUUGUAGGCAUCCCUGAACAAUAGAUAAUGUACUUGGGCUGGAAAAACUUUGUGACAUAUAUGGGGAUAGGGAGUUGGGGUUGGAAGGAUCAGUUUAGCUAUUAAUGACUUUUUAUGCUCUUUUUGGACACACCAAGAAAAGUUGAAUGGCAUGUGCACAUGUUGGUGCCAUGCUUUUGAAGCGUUGAUGCAGACUAACAAGCAUUUGUGUGGUAAAGCAAUAAAAAGGUAUGGUAUAUACAUGUUUCUAGCAUUUUUUCUAUUUUCAUUCCCGUUUGUUUAUUCGGGUACUUGCUAAUCUUACAAGCUAUCUAUUGUAUAUUGCCAUGAUGCCUUUGUUGCCUUGAGAUAUAUACUGAGGUGAUACCAUGUAUUAUCUGCCUUUUUAGGUUCUGAAAGGAAUGAAAUUACGAUGCAAUGUUGAUUUGCAUGUUAUGCAGCUUGACCAACUUAUUUGAUGAUGUUUAACUACCGAUUCUCUCAUUCUUCCGCACCAGUUGCUAAAUGAGGCUGCGUUCUCCUGUCAAUUAUAGGUGUAAAAUACAGUCACAAUAUGACCAAGCAAUGGGAAACAUGCUACCUUGAUAUAAUUGUCAAUCUUUUUAACUAACUAUCUCAUGCAAUGGAGUAAAUGUAUUCACAUCAUGAUGUGCACAUACUCACAUCUAUAGCAGCUUAUAUCGGAUGGUGAUGAGGAUAGGGUCGGACAUGUACCUACUUGUGCGGUGGCAUGGAAGGUCCCCUCCAUUUGCAAUGCAAACAAAAAGGUACUAUUGACUGAAUUCAAGAGAACAUGCACCGCUCAAAUCUAAGAAAUCAGACCCCCAACCCCCCUUUUCCUGUCAAGGUCAAUCCAACAAGCAAGUCGUUUCCCUGGCUAGGUAAGCACACACAUUAGAUUGAGCAAUAUAGUUGUGGGCUUCAAAGAUUAAUGUUGAUUAAUGUUCUUGCGUUUGAUACGAAAUUUAUCACUAGACUGAGUGAACCUAUGACUAUAUAUUUUAUCUAUGGAGACAUUUAAUUGUCUUCGAUAUGUGGCAUACUAUAAGACUAUAAGAUGCCUCCUAACUAGGAUGAAUGAGAAAACUUCAUGUUGCGGUUACACGUGCGUUGCACGUGCAAUGUUACUAGUAGGUAUGAAGAGAUGAGAUUUGGGCUUGUGCGCAACAAAUUUGUCUGUUUAAUUUAGUUUCAUGGAAUAUAGAAUGUUUCUAUUAAUGUAGGGAUAUGUUGCAUAAUUUUCCAUAUUUCUAGUUUAUUUCGAAGUUAUCAUAAAGAAAGUUUUGCAAAAGUAUGGAAUGAAAUUGGAGUAAAGGUGACUAACUUAAUUUGAAAACACAAUAUUUGAAAAAUAUUACUACAUUUGGAUUGCCUUUGAUUUCUACCUUCAUGUAAAUUACGUAUUUUUCAAUUAUUUUGCAUGUCGAUAAAUAUUAAAGUUUUUUAAAUACAUACAUAUAAGAUACACAUUUGACAGUACGACUUACUUCACGGAUAGUAGUUUGUGAAACAAAGACAUGGUUGUUUGUUUCCAAACUUUGCCCAAAAUAGGAAUGACCUAUUAGCGGCUAAUAUUAAAAAUCUAGAAUAAAUAUACUCCAUUUUCAAACUCAUUUUUAAGAUGAUAUUAGCUUCUAACCCAAGAACGUUGCGUUCAAAGAUGGGACAUGGUCCAAGUAUGUAGAAUCACUUGAUGAUUCAAAGACAAUAACUAAAUUCUCAUGUGAUUUAAAAACAAUUAUGUGUGGCAUUUUCGCAUGUAAUAUUUGUCUGUGUCACAUGCUUCCUCCCUUUUGAGUAAGUUGUUUGCACAUACACCUAGGCUUUGCAACAAAUUAAAAUCCAUGUAUAAUGGCAAAUGAGAGAUAGGUAGGCGUCUCCAACUCGAGCACUCACAUAUACUAUUUUUUGCAUAUUUCCUAUUAUAUUAUGUAGUUUUAUUGGGAUGGAAAUGCUAACAACCUAACUUGCUGGUCUAUUCAUCGCAUCACCUUUAAUUGUUGUGCUAUAUUGUUGAUGCCAGCAUGAGGACAUUAACAUUUGUAUUCAUCACAAAGAAAAUUCAUAUCACAGUAUUAUAUGACAUGACACAAUCUUGAGAUCAUAUGUUGAGCAUAAGUGGUUGAACCAACAUGUUUUCUCACAUAAUAUAGUUAUUUAUGUAUCUUACAAAGGUAUAUUAUGAAAUAUGUCUACAUCCUUUUGAUGCUUCUGGCGCUCGUACAUAUUUCCUUAUAUAUGAUCAAACCUAGAACAACUUGUAGCUUGGAUUGAAGAUAGUGCUCAACAAAACAUAACAAAUACUAUAUCUACUAAUUUAGUUUAACAAAAAAGUAUUGAAAAAAUACAAAUAAUAUAAAUGUGAAGAAGAAUGGAGAAUGCAAUACCUAAAAUAUAUGCAUGGGUCUCUCUUGCCCUUAAAUCUUUUCGAAGCCAAAUAUAUAGAGUUUGCAUGUGAUCGUGUUUCCUGAAAACAAUUAAAGAUAUUUUGUAUUGCCUGGUCAACAUUUGAAUAAGAAAAACUAUUGUAUUGAUAAAUUUUAAAAGAUUAUUUUUAUAGAAUUCUUUGGGGUUGUCUUAAUUUCUGUUAAUAUAUGAGAGAAGUAAGAGUAAGUUAACAUGUAGUGGUCUAACAUUAUGUUACAGAAAAGCAUGAAGAGAAGAAUAAAAAUAAAUAUAUUUAUAGACCAUUUCUAGGAUGUGUUUUACAUGUGGGGUAGGAAUUAUAAUAUACGAUUGUGAUUUGUUAGUCCGUAUCAACGUACUCCAUCUGCCAUUUUCCACAUAUCAGUUAUGUCUUAAUUAAAGUGUGCAUGUUUACAGGAAAUAUUGUGAAAAUUAAUAAUAGAAAAUCAAUAUCAAUGAUGGAAUAUGUUUUUAUAGUGUAUUAUUUUGGUAUUGUUGAUGUUACUAUUUUAAAUAUAAAUUUGGUAAAACUUUGGAAAGUUUGCCUUAAUACAAAACUAAUAUGGGGAGUAAGAAGAAAUAGGGGAAGCAUAAUUUCUCGCCAACUCAUGCAUUCUACAACUAUAUAAUUAAUACUUAAUUACCAGGUCAAUGGUUAAAAACAUUAAUCUUGAAGGGUUUACUAAGGUAUUCUACAUCAUAUUUGAUUAUGAUAUAUCAGAAGUAGGGUGUGAAAUAUCUACAAAGUUCUUAUAAAACACUUUAGAGGAAAGUAUAUAUGGUAAAGUAUUGUGUAAAUGAAAUACUUUGGUAAACCUAAUUAAUAGUCUGGAAUUGAGACAAAUUAUAACUAUUAAGUAUCAUGUUAUGAAAGAGAUAAUGUACCUAUCAUUAAUAUGCCACAUUGCGGGUGCUCACGAUAGGAUGCGGCUCCACAUACUCCUUUCGUUCAUGAUAGUCCUUCCAAAUCUACUCCCAUAUGUGCCCCCCUUUUGCUCGGUGCCACUUAUUGAAUCCAAUGUUGUGCUCAACCUAGAUUGAAUCAACCAUAUGUCCUCAUAUCUUGAGGAAGCAAGCCCUUUUUCCUUCGGCGUCUUGCCCUUCUUCUUCUUCUUCUAGGUAGGAUUGGGAUCGAAUGUUGCCCCAAUCACAAGUGCGUCAGUCUCCUCCAUUUCAUAUUCCACAUGGGCCGGAUCUUCAUUCUCAUUGAUCAUAUUUGCCGAGUAUGUCUCCUUCAAGUUCAAGGUUUGCAAGCAAUCAUCUUGUGCGAACUAGUGAACUAUAUGAAACAUUAAUCAUUUGAUUGGACAAGAGCAAACAUACCCGGUCUUGUUAAGACAUUUCGUCGAACAUGUCGUGUGCAAUGCGGGCGAUGGGGUUGCCCGUGCUCACCGCCCCCGAACGAGCUGCGGGGACUCACACUCUUGGACCGACGGCUGAUGCGUGAUCGGAAAGCUCUUUGGAAGGGUUCAUCCCGUCGUCUCAUCCUCCUCCUCCUCGGUCUCGACGGUGUCGGAUGACACAAUCCGCGCCGGCGCUUGCAUGGAUGGGGUAAGGGGAGUCCGACGCGUCGGGGGAGACAUCUUGUCAACGACACUCGCAUGUAGCUAUGUGACCAACUACCUCUGUCGUUGUCGGCGAUGGCGCAGCUUACGGGCGAUGUUCUCAAGCUUGCAACACGAAGCGGAGGAAGGCCCGCCGACGGACGAUGCGGACUGCGUCUCCGUCACGGGGGUCGGGGAUGGGGUGGAAGACAUCAUGACGGCGAAUCGAGACAGGUGGUGAGGAUGGAGAGCAAGAGUGCCGGACGGCGAGGGGUCAGGCACGGAAAGUGUUGACGGACGAAGGGAGGAGGAGGAAGGGUUUGGGGGAUUUGGUGCAAUUUGAGGUAUGGUCGGGCUGUCGGGUCCAACUUGGCAGGCAUGCCCAGGCGCGCCCGGGCUCCCCCAUAUCUGCCCCAUAUUUGGCCUGGAAAUGGGGGGUGCCGAUUAGCCCGGACGUUUGAGACGAGUUUGAGAGGCCCGUCUAGGUCGAUUUUUCGUGACCGGGCAGUGACCGGGGGGCCUGUCCGGACGUUUGAGGAGGGUUUCAGGGGUCCGUAUGUAGAUUCUCUUACAUAGAGCAUCUCCAGCAUCCACCCAACACGCCCCUAGACGCCUUUUUUUAUCUCCGACGCAAAAACAAUCGCUCGGUCACGUCACAAGAGCCCAAAAUUCGUUGCUUAGGGCCGAAAUUGACGCCGGUUGACCCAGGCUGAAACCAGCACGCUGGGGGGUGAUCGGGGAGCGUUGGGGGAAAGGAGUUUGGCGUGAAAACAAACCGCGCGAGAUUCCUCCCAUGUGGACCCGCCGAGUGAGCGACUGUGCGUUGUCGAGACCCUUCGUUGUCCUCAUCGCCUCGGCUCCCGCGCCGGUUGGGUUUUCAAGGUCUGGCGACGCAGUGAUGGAGAGCAGCCGCGCGUGCCGCCCUUUCCCGCCAUGCGUACACAUCGCUCCCGCCCCUCUCCCUGCUAUAAAAGUCGAGCCUCGUCGCCGCUCGCGACACACUCGCCAUCCCCCAUCUCCCUAUCUCUCUCACCUCCAGUGCUGGAAAACUCGCCAUGGCGGAAAGGUUCCCCGGUGAUGGAGCGGCUGCCAACGGUUUAGGCCGCCGGUGGCUGCACGAGUGGGAGGCACGCCUGCUCGAGGAGGCGAACUACCCAAUGCUGCCCGACAUGCACGUACCGGGUACAUGGCGGUUGAGUGCUUGCGGCGUCCUCGUACCCCCGCUGCCCUUCGACGCAGUGCACCCCGCCAAUAUCGCUCGGAUUUGGGUGUCCUUGCCGGAGCACGCCCACGAGCAGCCAAGGUACGCCCCCGAAAACCAUGCCCUCUAGAUGGCGUAUUUUCAGCGCCGCCACGCUCGCCCCGGCGCCAAGGUGGUGCGACAACUCCGACGGCGGUGUGGAGGACAAGCCACCAAGCAACGGCGACGACGAUGAUGACGACAACUACACCGUCUUCUACAACUUUCUCGGCAUGAACUAGGUUCGGGGCGGCGACGACGAUGUAGUUUUUUAGGUUUUUUUAUGUUUUUAAUUAGUAUAAAUAUGAAUGAAAUCGUCUAUAUUUCGUCUAAAAUUGAGUAAAUUUCGUUGUGUUUGGACGUUUGAUUUUUUUUAGUUCGGCUAAAUUACGUUCAUGACUGAAAAUAGAUUCCCCCACGUCAAAAAAAUUGCGGCAAAGCCCCAAGAAGCACUUUUUACCCGAGAAACUCGCUUGAAAGGCCAAACGGCUGAAGAUACUCUUAAACUUCCUAAUCACUUCUAUCUCCUCCCUGAUUUUGGCGUGGGGUCCAUGCUAUUUUUUUUCAACCAAAUCUCCCCAAACCAGUUUUCACGUAGCUUAAUUACGCAUGUCAUGUGGUUAGCUUUACCUAGUUUUUUCUUUAAUUGCUUGAAUUGCUUAUCAUAUGUAUCAUGCGGUUAGCUUUACCUAGCUUAAUUAGGUAUGUGUAGCAAAGCCCAUUCCGGAAAGGUCAUCGAAUCGUUUUGUGCAUGUCCGUACAUAACAAAUCCAAGAAAUGUCAAACGUUAGAUCUCCUGGGCAGGCCAUUGGUGAUUAGUGGAUAUUCAUCUUAUGAAACAAAUCUAUGGCUUGUAAUUGCUCCGGAGUCUUAGUGGACUGCUAAUCUAGAUUCAGAAUCUUGUGUAUUAUAGUAAUAGAGAUAUGUCUCGUCAUAUUUUUAGGAAUAUCUAGUUAUUAAAGAUAAGUUAAUUGAUAAUUUAUCCGCCAAAAAAAAGUUUAAAAGAUAAAAAUUAUACAUUUUGUUAGUGACAUGUUUAAUAAGAUAAAACAAUCUUAUUAAUCAUUGUAUAUGCUUUACUAAAGAUUUCAUUACGCAAGUUUUGCAGGGGUUUUAAUUGCUACAAUUAUACAUGGAAAGAAGGAAUCCGUGGAAAAAUAGUGCGCUAUAGCCUGAGAGAUGUCUCGAUAAAUAAAUCACUGUACAGUGUCACGCUAAUAGCAUUCUAAUAAAGCAUGCUAAUAACAAGAAUGGCAGUUUGGCUUCUCGUGUGAAUAGUUAACAAAAAAUAGUAAAUGUUUUUAAAAAAAUCUUAUUUUUUUAGAUGUUCGUGUUAGUGUCGCAAGCAUCCUUCAAACAAUUCAUUCGAAACAGAGCAACGCUGUUUCACCGGUGAAAAGAAAACAACAAUUUUAGGGUGUAACAUUUGGUGCUUUUUUCUUUGCACAGGCCAAAAUGUUUAACCUUUUUUCUUACAUACCCGUAUGUGACAAAGAACACAUAUAAUCUCUUUUUUAAUUUUAUAUUUAAAAAAUAUUUUUGCGUGCAGGAACUUUUUUUUUCAUUGGCAAAAACAGGUUAGGCCCAUGUAGACGCGGCCCAGCAGAUGAAUCCUCCACCAUUUCCAUUCCUUUGCUCCCGACGAGUCUAACAACCAAACCAAACCAACCAAGAGCUGACGGCGGCGACGGCGACGGCGACGGCGACAGCUGCCCGCAACGAAGAAGGCGGAAGGCGCCCUCUCAUCCAUGUGCUGGAAGCGGAAGCAAGCAAGCGCUACCAACAGCUCAAGGUCAGCUCUCCUCUCAUCCGCCUGCCCGCCCGCCAGGUGCUUGUGCUUAUUCCCCUGCCCUGCUCGAGCCCGCCCUGUCACCCGCAAGCUUGCUUCAGUGGCUCCCUCUGCCUGCCCCAGAAACUAAACAAUGGCCAUACUUACUUUACUUACAUCAAUGAAUCCGAUGAGAUUGAGCGAAUCAAGCCGCCGGGCCUUGUGCCCACUCCUCGAGUAUAAUAGUAUGAUCCAGUCAAGGUCUAAGCGCCAGCCCCGAGUGCCAUUUUGAAACUCCUUCACAUGGCAAUGGCAUGCCGUGGAGACCGCAAGGCCAGACCUGCAGCCUAGCCUUGUUUUUUCACGGUUUUGCUUAACGAGAUGCGUGCUAUAUAUGCUUGGCACAGAUUACUUGUGUCGAUCAAAUCUGGUGCUGGGACUGGGAGCAUUGACUUGACCUGCUCAUCACCAAUACAAAGAGAUGCACAUCAUAUAUACAUGUGACAUAUCUAUACAACAUAUGCUUGGAACCGGAAGCAAGCAAGGCCCUAUAAGCAAAGAGAGAAAGCAGCUGGGGUUGGCUCAUAUCUAUAGAUGCACUAUUUAAUUUGCUCAACACUUUCAUAAUUUCUGAUUUAACUUUACCAAAUAGUUUGACUGCUAAUACAUAAUCAUGUGUCAUAAUAAUUAUGCCAUUGCUUUUUUUUUUUACUUUAAUACGAAUUUAGUGACAUUAUUGUGUGCCGUGUAACCAGCAUCUUUUUGUUGGUCAAGCUGAUUUUGAAUCUCGAAAUACGCGUCUGAUCUAGAUUAAUCUGUAGCAAGUGCAGGUUUUUUUCUAGUGUAGCUGAUGACGGAGAGUAAUUAAUCUGUAGCAAGUGCAGGUAGCCCAGUAAUAGUUAAUUGCAGUACGCGUCUCAUCUUAGAUCAGAUCCGUUCGAGGACCAAACACACACCUACUCUCUCUCUCUCUCUGUCUGUCGCUCGCUUGCUCCCUGCGCUCCACCUUGCAGGCCAAGGCCAAAAACGCAGCUCCCAUCUCUUCUCACUUGCCGGCAGCGCAGUUGUCUCGUCCUCUCCCUGUCACCAUGGCGGCGGCGGCGGCGGCUCCUGGGUCUGCAUCAGCCACACCACCGCUGAAAAGCAGAGUAGGCACUCUCUCUCUUUCUCUUGUGCAUAUGUUAGGUGUUCCUGCAGGCCUGACCGACAGAUCCUUUUGCAGUAGCCAGGCCUCCCCUGCAGUCAGCAUCCAUCACCGGCAGACAGGCGCCUGGUGCGCGCACGUCAACAUCAACGUACGUAAUCCACAGUCGUACGUCUCCAUUAAUUUGCAGCCAGCCUGUACAAUCAGUAGUACUACCUUUAAUUUCCAGGAUUUCUUGUUAUUAGUGAUGGAAAAUCAGUGCAUGCAUAUAUGUACAGGGCAGGUAAUUGGAUUCCCUUUGGUUUCUGGAUCGAUGCAGGUCAUAUCCCUGCAUCAGUCAUCAGAUGGGGAUGUACGCGGCGCUCCGUGUAGCGCAAUGGGUGGUGGGCAAGGCACUAGCCCCCGUUGCCGACGGCGUGCUGGGGGCUUGGGCAGACACCAAGAACUUUGGUCCCAACGUCGAGGCCCUCAGCACGGAACUGCUGUGGGUGAAGGCCACGCUCGAACAAGCUGCCCUCAAGGAGCUUGGUGGGCCGGCAAUGGAGAUGCUGUUGCAAAAGUUGCUGGACCUGGCGCACAAUGCUGAAGACUUGCUGGACGAGUUGGACUACUUCCGCAUCCACGACGAGCUCCAUGGCACGUACGAUGCUGCUGACAAGCACGGCGAGGGUUCUGUUCGCAACCUUGCCCUCAAUGCUCGCCACACUGCCAAAGCUGUUGGAAAACUGGUCAAUUGUUGCGCUUGGCAGCGUGCUAAGCGCCAUCAGAGGUCAUGCAACAAUUCCUCCUCAGCGCCAAAUGCCAAUCAGGAGGUCAGCGGAUGCAUGCCCAAGCUCGGUAAACUUCUCCCUUGCUCAUGUUUCCCACAUCCACAUGUUGGUGAUGGCAAUCGUGGCAAUGAGCAAGAAACACCAAAGCUUGAGUUUAAUAGGGUUGAUUUGUCUCGAAGGAUGAAGGGCAUUGCAGAGAAACUGCAGCUUAUGCGCAAUGAGGUUAGCAAGAUUCUGAUACAUUGUGGCCCUAGAACAGUCCCAGAUAUUACCCAGAUCCGUCCUAUCACCAAAGGUCGAAUUGAUGAACCAAAACUGUAUGGGAGGGACCAUGUCAUGAAUAGCAUCAUACAUGAUAUCAUCGAGGGUCAAUACUGUGACAAGGGUCUAACUGUACUUCCGGUUAUUGGUCCGGGGGGAAUGGGGAAGACAACUCUGAUACAACACAUAUAUACCAACCAACAAGUGCAGAAUCAUUUUCCAGUCAGGAUUUGGAUAUGUGUGUCAUUCAAUUUCAACCUGGAUAAGGUGCUUGAAGAGAUUAAAAGAUAUACCCCUGCAGUUGAAGGUGAAAAAGACUGUAUUAGAGCAGAAGAGCUGAUUGAACAAAGACUAAAAUCCACAAGGUUCUUACUUGUAUUGGAUGAUAUAUGGGAGUUUACUGAUGUGGACGACUGGAAAAAACUAUUGUUGCUACUGGGCAAGUCGCAAGAAAAGGGUUCCAUGAUUCUAGUCACGACUCGGCAAAAAGAAAUAGCAGACCAGGUUAAGAAAAUCGAAGAGCCAAAAGAACUGAACAGGUUAGAUCCUGAAGAGUUUAGGAAGUUAUUCCUUGUAUACGUUUUUGAUGUUGAGCAAUAUCCGAGGGAUAAACAUCAUUUGCUUCACAUUGGAGAUGAGAUAAUGGAAAAAUUAAAAGGCUCCCCUCUUGCUGCAAAGACCGUUGGUAGAUUACUGAGAAGAGACCCUAGUUUGGCUCACUGGAGAAGGGUUCUAAACAGUAAACAAUGGGGGAAACAGACCAAUGGAAUUAUGUCUGCCUUGAAGCUUAGCUAUGAAUUUCUUCCUUUCUAUCUGCAACAAUGUUUUUCCUAUUCCGCAUUGUUUCCUGAAGAUUACCCUUGCAGAAGCCAUGAGCUCAUUAGCCUAUGGAUUGGACUAGAUACUUUGAUACCUACUGAUGAAGACCCAACUUUUGAAGGUAUAGGUUUGAGCAACAUAAAAGAGUUAAUCAACCAUGGAUUUUUCAGAGAAGAGGAAACUGUUGAUCGUCCGCGUUAUGUCAUGCAUGACCUACUGCAUGAUUUAGCAUUGAAGGUUGUAUCACAUGAUUGUGUUAGUUUUCCUCUCCCUAAUGUUGGAUUAGUAAAAGUUCAGCCAUCAACGCGUCACUUGUCCAUAAGCACAGAGAAAUUGGGUGAAUAUGAUGUAGUGUCUGGUGAAAAAUUAAUAAGUGAAUUGGAAGAAUUGAAGACAACAUUGAAAGUUGAGCAUUUGCAAACACUGAUGUUAUUUGGGAGAAUGCAUGAAUGUUUUGCCAAGAUAUUUUGCGAAUUUUUUGCGGAAGCAACUGCUCUUCGUGUUCUUUAUUUGCCCAUGGGGUCUGUGUUACAUACCUUUUCAGGACUUAUCCACCUACGAUUCCUAUGUCUAGGGACACGGAAUAUUCGAGUUCAUUUACCACUUAGAAUCUCUAAAUUUUAUCAUUUAAGGGUUCUAGAUCUUGAGAUGUGGUAUGGCAUUGGUGAUUUUCCCGAAGACAUGAGCAAGCUUGCCAAAUUAUGCCAUUGUUAUAUCCCAAGACGAAGAUAUGCAGAGCUUUGUUUUGAUAUUUAUGAUGUGAGAAAACUUAAACUCUUGGAAAAGUUAAAGGUAUUUCGUGUCAAUAAGAAGAGUGAAGGAUUUGAACCAAAGCAAUUAGAGUAUUUGACCAAGCUAUGGGAGCUUGGCAUCUACAACCUUGAGAAAAUACAUAUAGGAGACGAGGCAGCUGAAGCAAAACUGAUUGAGAAAAAGUUCAUGAGGAGGUUAACAUUGGACUGGGAUAGUGAGCGGUCUGAUGUUGAGCCCGAUGUGGAAGAAGUGGUUCUUGAGAGUCUUCAACCUCAUGGAGAUCUUCAGGUGCUGUGCAUUAGAGGGUAUGGAGGCCCUUCUUGUCCAACAUGGCUGGGUGAUUUGUGGGAUCUUCAUGAACUAAGGUUGAAGGAUAUGGCCAGACUGAAGGAGUUUAUUAUAGGGAAAAGCUUUUGCGUGCUAAUAAAGCUUGAACUCAUUGGCCUAGCAAGUUUCGAAAAAUGGGUUUACCCAACUGAACUAGAAUCAUCCCUGGGUGGAGAGGUGUUGCCAACAGAUGCUCAUAUGUUCCCUCUCUUGCAAGUGUUGAUUAUUAAAAAGUGCCCGAAACUCUCGGUGUUGCCUUUUUCAGACCACAUUGUUUCCUCAUAUUGGUUUCCCAAACUACAAGAGCUUGAAAUACAUGACUGUCCAGAAUUCUCGUCAGUGAUUCCCAUCUCCUGGAUUGAAAGUCUGCGUCGUGUCAUAAUACGACAUGUAAAGAUGCUAAUGGAGUUUACAUACUCAAAAUUGUCUGCUGGAGUAGAAUUCGAAAUUAUUGGAGAGUAUGAUGUGCAUAGCUUAGACCAAGUGUUGGCUUUCGAUAAAGAAAUAGGCCUUGAGAAGCUGACACUGUCAAGGUGUCCACCUCUAGAGUUGAAGAACCUUCUGAUGCUAACCUCGCUGAAGACAUUGAUUGCAGGAAAUUCAGUCAGUCUGGUUGGACCACUAGGAGGUCAGGAUGGCCUCGAAUGGCACCUCCCUAUUGAGUAUAUGAGGAUCAAGGGCUUGGAUGGUUAUAGUGGGAAGGAAUUGACAGAGCUCCUCCCCCACCUCCCAAGGCUCUCCAAAUUGGAAAUAAGUUAUUGUAAAAACAUAAAAAAGCUGGUAGUUGGGAUGGGUCUGCAACAAACAACAUCCACAACAUCAGAGGUGGAGGAAGAUGAAAUAACAACGGCAGAAGAGGAAGAGGAUGAUGGGGUGCUGCUCUUCCCAGCUACUCUAUGUGACUCACUACGGGAAUUGGACAUGUCUUUCUGCCUAGGUAUUGUCCUGGUGGACCAACCAACUCUUGUUUCUGGAGGAGCAUGGCUUCAAGCCUUGCGAUCCCUCCAGACUUUAAGCAUAAAGUGUUGCCGAAAGUUUUUAUCCACCUUCUCAUUUUCCCGUCACCUUUUCCCUUCCUCCCUGCAGUUCCUGACACUUUGGUAUGUGAAAGGCAUGCGGACACUGGAGCCCCUCUCAAACCUCUCCUCUCUUACCCGAUUAGAAUUGUUGAAUUGUGGGGAGGAUCUAAAAUGUCAGGGCUUGCAGUCUCUCAUUACCACCGGGGGGCAGCUCAAUGAAUUAGAAGUCAGGGGCAGCCAUAGGUUCUUUGCUGGUUGGGAUCCUGUUGAAGGAGAAGAGCAGCAGCCACAUCUUAUUUCAUCCAAACUGCAGGCGCUCAGGACGGAUGACGUGGUGGGCCUUUUUGCUGCACCCAUCUGCAGCUUCCUCUCUCCCGCCCUCACCGAGCUGCAACUUUCGGGAGAGAGCUUUUUGUUCCCCUUUUUCGCGAUGGAGCGUUUCAGCAAGAAGCAAGAAGACGCCCUUCAACUCCUCUCCUCCCUCCAACAACUUGCGUUUUGGAGUUUCGACGACCUUCAGCAACUCCCUGCAAGGCUGGGCAAUCUUGCCAGACUUAAAACAUUAUCAAUCUACAAGUGUCCAGCCAUGUCAUCGUUGCCCAACGAUGGCCUCCCUGAAUCACUGCAAGAGUUAAGGGUCAGCUUGUGUGGGAAGCUAGAAGAGCAGUGCAGGGAGUUAGUAAAUACCAUCCCCAAAAUCAUAAUAGAAUGAUCCAAGGUAACUCAAACAUACUUUCUUGUGUUUUUUCCACUUUAUCCUUUUCCUGCAAUCCCGCUUAAUAACUCUGUGCCUUGUUCCCAUCCGCCGUGCAGGACAAUUCCUUGGGUUUCCCUAGUACUCCCUCGUUCUCCCCAACAACAAAUAUUAUGGUACAGAGGGAGUACAUUCUUCUAGCCUUGUAGAGCUCUUCCCUUUCCAUACAUACAUCCACACUCUUGCGACAUGCAUGACAUGAGGGUCUUGUGGCUGCUGUCUUCCUUCCUGUACAAAAAUCUGGUAAGUACAUGUACACUGAAACUUCACGCCUGCUAUACCAUACUGUAUCAAUUAUAUCAACUUCUGCUUAUACUUCCGUAAAACAUAUAUCCACUUAAACUCCUGCUAUGUUAGAUUUUUAUUUUCUUUUGAAAAUAUUUAAGACAUGUUUCUCAUCGCCCCUUGUCUUUUCAUAUGUCGAGGAAACAAAUGUAAUUAUCUGCUAGUUUCGUUUGGAUGUCUCUCUUCUCCUUCCUAGAUGCAAUUACCAACGUACACUGUGAUCACCAUAUGUUUUGGUUCUCUUUACAGGCGUUUGUUUGAUCUUAUAGGCUUCUUCAUAUUUUGCCUACGCUAGAAGCAGCGUGGCCUGAAGCUAUCUGAAGUGUUGUGAUGUUACUUGGAAGUUGCUGUGAUGAGUAUAUCAUUCACGUUCAUACUGUGUGUGUGAUGGUUAGUAUUUCGGUCAUUCAGUAUUAGUGUAGUGCAAAAUAUUCUGACCCUGACAGGCAGAACAAUGCCAAUUACUUACACGUUUCCCUCCCUUGUCAGGAAUCAGACUGCUGCUUCUGAAGAAAUCAACACUUUUCAUGCUGUUAACUGAAAGAAAUCGACACCCAGCAGCCAAUUGGCGCCAAACCUGUCGGGCUCACCGUCAACCGUAUGAUCUUCAUCUAACGGCAGCCUGCCGCUUCUCUCGGAGCUACGACACACCACCACCCUUGCGGGAGCACACGAUCGAGAUCGAUCAUGGCCAAAUUAAGGCAGUGAAGUUCCAAGAUGGCAUCAUUACCAGAGAGGAGAGGAGCACCAUUUACUGAACUUUGCGCAUCGAGCUGCCCAAUACGCUCUUCAAAUGAUGAACUACUUCUUCACCAUCGAUUACAUGAUCUUGUGCUCCAGACUUGGUAGCAGAAGUAUCAGUCGACCGCCUCUGGGAAGAUGACCAAGGUGAUAGUGCUCUAUGGAAUUUGCGCAGAACCAUGCAAUUCCAAUCCAAGUUUACCAUCAGGCCUUCAUCAUGCAGUUGUUAAGCUUCUUUUGUUGUACAAACUGAAGUUUCUCUUGUGAAGCGCACAUUCAUUCAUAUUAGACAUUCUAUGUAUAUUAUCACUGUCACCACCAUUACUUAUUUACGCCUCGAGUAUAACGGCGCACCUUUCCUAGGUAGUUACACUAAACGUGCUCUGUUAUUUACUCUGGUUGUCAACUCUAACUAGCUAACAUAAGAGGGGUAGGAGUUGUGUCACGAGAUCCUUCAACCAUUGCUCAACAUCAGAACCAAUGUGUGUUUAUUUUUGGUCAAAAAAAAAAAAAUCAAUGUGUGUUUCUAAAAGUGUAUCAUUGCUCACUAUUGAAUUCAUGCUCUAGCCAGUUGCUCCAAAAGUCCAAAGAGAAAGGCGGGCAAUAUAUUUCAACCCAUUGUCGGGGAAGGAACAUGUAGUAGUACAGCUAAAGAAAAUUCAGGGGGAGAUGUGGUUUCAGUGUUGGUGUGCUUCUAUGCUGCUUAUUCAUGUUGAUGUUGGUGUGUUUCUUGUUAGGGUGUUAGUAUGCGCCCCCCAUGUGUGUAAAUGGAUUUUCUUCAAAUUGCCCCGAGCAUUGUUGCUCCAUCGCAAAAUUAAUUUUCAACCAUCCAAAGGUUGGCUGUGAAUUUCUUUCUUUCUUUGCAUGCAGACGCAGAGUUAUUUUUUUCUUUUCUACUUUUCAAUUAAGUAGAGGGAAAACUUUACAUUCACCGGGCCUGGGUUUGGAAUUUAGCCCGAUGAUGAGAUAUGAGUUGCUGCAGUACAUCAGGCCCGACUGCCAUCAUCUCAGGAAGGAGGCAGUUUAUAUAUUCAGGUCAAGUAGACAUGGAGAACUCCAGUGCUUGUAGUCGUCGUUAGGUGGUCUACAAAUUCAGAUAUAAUUUUUAUUUUUUUGAUAUUCGUUGUACUGGCAUGAUUGAAGAUGAAUAGGUUAAAAGCUUUUCGCAAAACAAAAAGCGUCUCUUUCUUUGCAGUGGCGUUACAAAUUCAAACCCACAUUUCACCCAUGCCCGCAGAAGAAAAAUACACCCCAACCACUUACCUUGGAUUUUCAUGUCAUUAUUCCUCUAUGUGGUUUGCGAAAUCUGUUUUCUUUUUUUGUCGAUGGCGCCCUUUUCACCACUUUUUGUAAGCUUCUAGAAGCUCUUCGCUAUUUUUUAUUUCCUUUUAUUUGCUUCUUUCUGGUUUUUUCCAUGUUCGUGUUCUUUUAUUUUCCUCACCUCCUUUAUUUUCUUUUUAAAAUUUACUGAGUACUUUCUCAAUUUCUGAACAUUUUUAAAUACAUCAAUAAUUUUUCAAAAUCAUAGAUAUUUUUCAAAUCCAUGAAAAUUUGUAGAAUUUAUGAUAAUUAUUUGCAAAUAGCAAAUAUUGUGCAUAAUUCAUGAAUAUUUAUAAAUAUCAACCCAUGAUUGUUUUUUUAAAUUCGUGGAAAUAUUAUUUUUUUAAUGUUUUCCGACUUUGUGAACUUUUUCAAAUCUUCCAAAAAGACAAGAGAGCUGAUGUGUUUUAGGCAGCGAUUGCUGUUUUUUUAAGCUAGCGUCAUGAGAAAAAGGGCUGUGGCCCAUCAAGCUAGUGAUGUGCAAGCGCUAAAGGCGCUAAAUAGGUACUCCUAAGUGGAAGUGGUUAUUUUAGCUCGAGCUUGGAUGAACAGUAAAAUCAAAGAAAUUAAAAAACAAAAAAAUUGAAGUUUUUUUAGUAAGCAUUGACAUUUGUUUUUCUUUAUUGCACAGGGACGGCCUCAUGGGCCAGGCUCCAAUAGGAGGAGAGCAUGUGUUCACAUUUAUGAAAACAAGGUUUUAUGUAAAAUACUGAUUGACCAACGAAAAACAAAUUAAACCCCUGUGUACAUAAACAAUCGCGGGAAAAUCUAAUUGGCAGCGUGCGCACGGCUGCGUUGCCGUGCGGCGGGCAGACCAACCUGUAAGAAUUUUAGAUGCUACAGACAAUGUGCGAUUCCUUUUGAUGUUUGAAAUUCAAAAAGUUUUAUCUACGAAACCGUUAAUUCAAUCGAUGAUCCGUUUUCAUCAUUGGCUUUCUUGCGACGAGUUCUUCAAAACUAGAUCCCAUGUCGAUAUGUUUCGUCAAUUAUUAUUUUCCGUUCAUACUUGUCACAUUUUUUGACCCAUUUGACAUAUUAUUAACCACUUACUUGCCUCAAAAAAUUAACUUGAUUGUCACUCUUUAAUGUUGUUUCGUACAAAAGCCUUGUAACAGAUUUCAUUAUACAUGAUAUAAAAGCAUGUCACUGGUUGUCUUUGCCAACUUAAAAUAUACCAACUUGUCAUAUUUACAUACAACUUUGUCAGAAAACUAUUUCGUGUGCUUGUUAGUUUAACUAUGCCAAGUUAUCAUAUUUACAAACGAUGACCAAAAAGUAUUUCUUGUGAUCAUCGGUUUUAAAUAUGUUGAGUUGUCAUAUUUUUGCGGUAAUCGCCUAAAAAAGUUGUUUGUGCUUGCUAGUUUGAUUAUGUCAAGAUGUCAUAUUUAUUCACAAUUUUAAAUUUUUUGACAAUUAAGUUAUUUUUUAUCAGACAAGUAAGUACUUACUAAUAUGACAAACAAAUAUAACAAAUGUGGUAAGUAGAAGAAAAAAAAAGUUGUCAAAACAUGUCGACAUGGGAUCUAGUUUUGAAGAGUUCAUCGAAACAAAGUCAACGGUGAAAACGGAUCACCGGUCGAAUUAACGAUUUAAGAGAUAAAAGUUUUUUUUAUAUCAGGCUUUGCAUGCAUGCAGUGGAUUCCUUUUUUGUACUUUUACGAUUCCCUGCAUGCAAGCACUCUGAUCUAAGCCUGCCAUAGCGUUUACAAGAUGGAUGGAAGUGGUUAGGAUCGUGGGGAAUGCUCCGUAAUCAAUGGUGGAGGCACCUUUUUAGGCCCAGCUCUCGUGGUUUUUGGCAGUAGUAAGGCCGCCGCACGAAAAGCCCUGGGUGCGGCACAGCUGCCUAGUCGUGUCCAACAAUCGCUGAUACCCAACUGCAUUGACGAUUCACAACAGUGACAUAAUGUGGGGCGGGGCUCCUCUCUUGUAUCACAAGCAUGGGAGCGCCAAUGUAACGCUCACUGCGUCAAUUUGCUGCCGUUUCGCACAGGAAAGCCCAUUACAAAAUAAUGUAGGGAGACGACACUUGGGACCAUUUGAUGUGUGGGCACUGUAGCGUCUCUUGAAAUAGGCUUUCAUCCCACUAUAUAGAUAUAGCAACCAUCAGAUACAACAUCCCGAACAUCGCUGGGGCGGACAGCACAAGCACGCCCAAAAGAAAAUACAAGAGAAAAUAAAAGAAAAAAAUACCAAGAACGCAGGAUCAACGAAAGCUACGACUCCCCGCGACCGCUGUGCCACCACCGAAGAUAACCACCACGCUCCAAAGCCAUCGAGUUGUCGUGUACCAAGCACCAUCUUCAAGAAGGAAUGCGACGAUGUCGACGCUGUUGGCCGGACGAAUCCUAGGAUUUCUUCCGAUACACUAUAGAGUAUAGUGGGUGAUUUUUUAUAGUAUUCUUUUUGUUCGUUGUUUGGAGAAACCCACAAAAAAUAUAAUUUUUAAAAUAAUUGAAGAUUUUUGAAGAUAUAGAUAUAUUUUUUCAAAAAUUGGAAUAUUUUAAAAAAAAAAUGCAAACAUGUUUUGCAAAUGCAAACAUUUUCUCAGAAAUGUACUCGCCGCCUCCGCCACUCCCCCGGCGUGUGCUCCACCUUGACUGGCCACAACACUGGCAAUGUCCUACGAUCCCGCCACGCAAGCGACCUCUGCAUCCCAUAAAGAUAAGAGAGCGAGAUGAAGAAGGGAAAAUGUUAAUGCGCCACGUCAGGAUUAAUAAUCUCAUUCGGGUGCCACGCAAUGUGCCGCCCGCCACGCAAUGUGCCGCACUGCAUUCGGGUGCGUUCUUUGCGUCUGAUCAUGAUAAAUAAUCUCAUGUUAAUGCGUUCAAAAGGGGUCGUAUUCUCAGAUUGAUGCUACGUACCUGCAGAGAACAACCUAAAGACGUGUAUAUCACGUUAUUAAAAUAGUUUAUGCAUCACAUUCUUAAGCUUGUAGUUAAGAUGGCUAUUGGAGAUGACUGACUUCUGUUCUAUUGUUUCUAUUGUUUUCUAUCUCCUCCUCUCCCUGGCUUGGGCUAGUGAGCUUUGGGAGUCCAGUAGCUAGGACACCCCUGAACACUGUACGUAAUAUUGAACUAGUAGUACGUCAGGAUCCCACAGUUUGGCACACAGACAAACACUUUCUUCCGGUCCUCUCAGAGUAUCUACAGUCGAACUUUUCUUAAAAAAGAAAAACUACAGUUGAACUUGACAAAUUCAAUCUUUUAUAUGCCCACGGACGCGUUUGCGGACAGCGUCAGGCGGUCCCUCAUAUGGGUUGUUGCACAUUCACACACCUCAGACGGAAUCUCAAAUCGAUGUAAUCCAUUCACAUUGAUCAUACGACAUAAAUUAUUUGAAUUCAGUUAUUCAGAAUAAAGCAAAUCAAAUCAUAGUUUAACAAUCCUGAUAUAUAAAAAUAAAAUCAAUGUCCAAGCGUGACGGAUAUCUGAUGUGCUACCAGAUCACUCGCCGAACGCCAUUCAUUUAAAACAGAACUAGAUGGGGAGAGUGUUGCAGACUUAAGAAACAAAAACAUUUUCGAUAAAGGACGUAUUUAUUAUCUUAAAAUGUAGCAUAAGAAACAAAAAUAUGGAUAGAAAUUCAGAGGACAUGGUUAGAUGACCAGCUUCCGUAUCGGUAUUCGCAGACUUGUUUGAACUAGUCCACGGACAAAUACGGUGCUCAUUUGGGGUUAGUGUUGGAAUCGCGUGACCGUGAGAAAAGCAUGUGUGUAAUACGUUGUUGUAGGAGUAUCGCACAAAAGCUAGCUCAAAUCAAAUAAUGCAUGAUACGCACUAGCCCAAAUAAAGGAUGAUGACUCACUUGGGCUCCACCCACAAUUCCAAUCUCGCCAUGUUUCUCGUUGAGCAAACGGACGGUAGCACGCUCCAUUCAACAUCUAAUCAUACCAGCUGGUGACUUUUUUUUUUAACAGGGACCAACUAGUGACUCGUUUCAAACUUUCCGAGUCUCUCCAAAACAGACUGAGAUUCGGUGACUUAUCAUGAACAGUACGGUGCACGACCCCUUCUUCACACAUUCUCAUGAAAAAUCAACGGAUCUCGGUCUACAGUACUUUUACUACGCUGUUUGAUCUGGAUUGCCCAUCCUUUAUCCAACGGCUAGCUCUUCGCGAGUUACGGCCGAGUCACUGGAUCUGGAUCCAUCCAGAAGCAUUUGCUAUCUCACAUUCUCAAGAUCCAUAUCUGGAUUCUUGAAAGAAAAAUCAAAUAAAAUACGAAUUUAAAUAAAAACAGCAGAAUCAACUAUUUUAAGCAUCUGGACCUCCCGUGUUAGUUAAUUAGAGCAUCUCAAGCCAAUCCCCUAAAAAGCUACAAUGGAGUAAAUUUUCUAGUUUACUCCACUGAGCCGCAACUAACCGAUCCUUUGAAUUCUAUAAAGGACUAAUUUUUUUACCCCUCCACCAAAAAUCCCUCCCAUAGUGCCUAAAUAUACUCGGCGCCCGCACAGCCGAGUAAACAUGUCCCGCCUCUUUCCCCCGUCCUGUGCGGAUGCACCCUCCCUGUCGUCGUUGCCAUCAAUGACCGCCCUCAUCACUAGAAUGGGUAGUCAAGACCCUUUCACAACCCCGCCGACCAUUGUGGUCGUCGAAAACCACCAUCGCGCCUCCACCCGCACAGAAAAAGGGGUUGAGGAUGAAAACUCUUCGCCAGCCUCAAGCAUCAGCUCUCGUCGCCACCAAGGUUGUCAAGGUGGCCACUGCCUCUCCCGCGACGGUAGGCCACCCUCCCACUUCUCGCCCGCGACAAGCGAGCUAGGACUGAUGGUCGCAGCAUCGACCCUCGUCGAAGAGGUUGCGAAGAAGAAAACGAAGGGCACUGAGCCCCCCCCCCCUUGCACGUCUGGCGACUCGUGCAGUGUCUCUGGCCACCCCUACGGUCACUGCUCCGGCACGUUCGGUCGUCGGGAUGGUCACUGGCUCUCCAGCGAUGGCAUGACGCCCUCCCGUUGCUUGUUGGUGGCAAGCAAGCUAGGAGAUCGACGGGCGCACAUAGUCCCUCGCUGAGGAGGUUGCGAAGAAGAAGAAGUCCACUCCGGCCCUCAAUCCAUGUCUGGCGCCUCGUGCAGCGUCCCCGACCACUCUUACGCCAAUGCUCCGGCGCGUCUGGCCGUCGUAGCGGGCAAAAAGGGUCACGCCUGCCAAGUACUCGAGGAAAUGGCAACAAUGUAAAAAAACUUCCUUUUUUUGUUUGGCCGAUGAUUUUGGCGAUGAUUGUUGGUGGCCGAUGAUGAUGAAGUUUGUUUGUUUUGUCGUCAUAGUGUGAAGAUGAACACAACAGGCCACUCUCUACAGGCGGAUCGUGGGGGAACUGCCCUUGCUCUCCGGGUCCAUCCGCAUCCACGGUGGUGGGCUUCUCCGGCAAGUCAUCUCCUCCAGCGAUGAGGAGGACCAGCAAUUGUAGCAGCGUCCUCGUCUCCUCUCGGAGGCGUCUCUGACAUACGGAGAAUUCGUCCGCCAGAUGGGACUGAUAACCCACAAGUAUAGGGGAUCAAUCGUAGUCCUUUCGAUAAGUAAGAGUGUUGAACCCAACGAGGAGAAGAAGGAUCUGACAAGUGGUUUUCAGCAAGGAAAUAUCUGCAAGCACUGAAAUUAUCGGUAACAAGUGAUUGUGUGGUGAGAUGAUUCGUAGCAAGCAUCAAGUAACAAAAGUAGCAACGGUGCAGCAAAGUGACCCGAUCCCUUUUGUAGCAAGGGACAAGCCUGGACAAAGUCUUAUAGGAGGAAAAACGCUCCUGAGGACACACGGGAAUUUCUGUCAUGCUAGUUUUCAUCAUGUUCACAUGAUUCACGUUCGUUACUUUGAUAGUUUGAUAUGUGGAUGGACCGGAGCAUGGGUGCUGCCCUUACUUGGACAAGCAUCCCACUUAUGAUUAACCCCUCUCGCAAGCAUCCGCAACUACGAAAGAAGAAUUAAGACAGAGUCUAACCAUAGCAUUAAACUAGUGGAUCCAAAUCAGCCCCUUACGAAGUAACGCAUAAACUAGGGUUUAAGCUUCUGUCACUCUAGCAACCCAUCAUCUACUUACUACUUCCCAAUGUCUUCCUCUAGGCCCAAAUAAUGGUGAAGUGUUAUGUAGUCGACGUUCACAUAACACCACUAGAGGAAAAACAACAUACAACNNNNNNNNNNNNNNNNNNNNNNNNNNNNNNNNNNNNNNNNNNNNNNNNNNNNNNNNNNNNNNNNNNNNNNNNNNNNNNNNNNNNNNNNNNNNNNNNNNNNACGUGUUGAACUGCUUGGGGAUCCUCCCCCACCAAAGGGUGAUCAUGUGUUCGAGCUUAAACAGUUGCCUCAUACUCUUAAGUAUGCCUAUCUUGAUGAGAAGGAGAUAUAUCCUGUCAUAAUUAUUGCUCUCCUCUCACAGCAUGAAGAGAGGAAGUUACUAAGGACUCUGAGGAAGCACCGCGCUGCUAUUGGAUAUACUCUUGAUGAUCUUAAGGGUAUUGGUCCUACUCUAUGUCAGCACAAGAUUAAAACCGAUCCUGACUUUAACCCAGUUGCUGAUCAUCAAUGGAGAUUAAAUCCUAAGAUGAAAGAGGUUGUUAGAAAAGAAAUAUUAAAGCUUCUGGAAGCAGGAAUCAUUUAUCAUGUUGCUCAUAGUGAUUGGGUAAGUCCAGUACAUUGCGUACCUAAGAAGGGAGGUAUCACCAUCGUUCCUAAUGAUAAGGAUGAACUAAUCCCACAAAGGUUUAUUACCGGCUAUAGGAUGGUGAUAGACUUCCGGAAACUGAACAAGGCAACCAUGAAAGAUCAUUAUCCUUUGCCGUUUAUCGACCCAAUGCUAGAAAGGCUAUCAAAACACACACACUUCUGCUUUCUAGACGGUUAUUCAUGUUUCUCACAUAUACCUGUUGCACAAUCUGAUCAAGAGAAAACCACUUUCACCUGCCCUUUCGGUACCUUUGCCUAUAGACGUAUGCCUUUUGGCUUAUGUAAUGCACCUGCCACCUUCCAAAGAUGUAUGAUGGCUAUAUUCUCUGACNNNNNNNNNNGGUUUCUCACAAAUUCAAGUUGCACAAUUUGAUCAAGAUAAAACACUUUCACCUGCCCUUUCGGUACCUUUGCCUAUAGAUGUAUGCCUUUUGGCUUAUGCAAUGCACCUGCCACCUUCCAAAGAUGUAUGAUGGCUAUAUUCUCUGACUUUUGUGAAAAGAUUGUCAAGCUUUUCAUGGAUGACUUCUCCGUUUACGGGUCUUCCUUUGAUGAUUGCCUCAGCAACCUUGAUCGAGUCUUACAGAGAUGCGAAGAUACCAAUCUCGUCUUGAAUUGGGAGAAGUGUCACUUUAUGGUUAAUGAAGGCAUCGUCUUAGGACACAAAAUUUCUGAAAGAGGCAUUGAAGUUGAUAAGUCUAAGGUUGAUGUAAUUGAGAAAAUGCCUUGCCCCACAGAUAUCAGAGGUAUACGAAGUUUCCUAGGUCAUGUUGGUUUCUAUAGAAGGUUCAUUAAAGACUUCUCUAAGAUUUCUAGGCCNNNNNNNNNNUGUCUUAGGACACAAAAUUUCUGAAAGAGGCAUUGAAGUUGAUAAGGCUAAGGUUGAUGCAAUUGAGAAAAUGCCUUGCCCCACAGAUAUCAGAGGUAUAUGAAGUUUCCUAGGUCAUGCUGGUUUCUAUAGAAGGUUCAUUAAAGACUUCUCUAAGAUUUCUAGGCCUCUUACCAACCUCUUGCAGAAGGAUGUUCCUUUUGUUUUUAACGAGGAUUGUGAGGAAGCCUUCGAAAUACUUAAGAAGGCUUUGGUAACCGCACCUAUUGUUCAACCACCUGACUGGAACUUGCCCUUUGAAAUCAUGUGUGAUGCUAGUGAUUAUGCUGUUGGUGCUGUUCUAGGACAAAGAGUUGACAAGAAGUUGAAUGUUAUUCACUAUGCUAGUAAAACUCUAGACAGUGCCCAAAGAAACUAUGCCACUACGGAGAAGGAAUUUUUAGCAGUCNNNNNNNNNNUUGUUCUAGGACAAAGAGUUGAGAAGAAGUUGAAUGUUAUUCACUACGCUAGUAAAACUCUAGAUAGUGCCCAAAGAAACUAUGCCACUACGGAGAAGGAAUUUUUAGCAGUCGUGUUUGCAUGUGAAAAUUUCAGAUCUUAUAUAGUUGACUCCAAAGUCACUAUUCACUCUGAUCAUCCUGCUAUUAAGUACCUUAUGGAGAAGAAGGAGGCUAAGCCUAGGCUGAUCAGAUGGGUUCUCCUGCUACAGGAAUUUGAUUUGCAUGUUGUUGACCGAGAGGGUGCUGAUAACCCUAUUGCAGAUAACUUGUCUAGGCUAGAGAAUGUCCUUGAUGACCCACUACCUNNNNNNNNNNAAAAAGUUCAGAUCUUAUAUACUUGACUCCAAAGUCACUAUUCACUCUGAUCAUGCUGCUAUUAAGUACCUUAUGGAGAAGAAGGACGCUAAGCCUAGGCUGAUCAGAUGGGUUCUCCUGCUACAGGAAUUUGAUUUGCAUGUUGUUGAACGAAAGGGUGCUGAUAACCCUGUAGCAGAUAACUUGUCUAGGCUAGAGAAUGUCCUUGAUGACCCACUACCUAUUGAUGACAGCUUUCCUGGUGAGCAAUUAAAUGUCAUCCGCACUUCACACAGUGCACUGUGGUAUGCUGAUUACGCAAAUUAUAUCGUAGCCAAAUACAUACCACCGAGUUUCACCUAUCAGCAAAAGAAGAAAUUCUUCUUUGAUUUAAGACACUACUUUUGGGAUGAUCCUCACCUUUAUAAGGAAGGAGUAGAUGGUGUUAUUAGACGUUGUGUGCGUGNNNNNNNNNNAUGAGCAACUAAAUGUCAUCCGCACUUCACAUAGUGCAUCGUGGUAUGCUGAUUACGCAAAUUAUAUCAUAUCCAAAUACAUACCACCCAGUUUCACCUAUCAGCAAAAUAAGAAAUUCUGAUUUGAGACACUACUUUUGGGAUGAUCCUUACCUUUAUAAGGAAGGAGUAGAUGGUGUUAUUAGACGUUGUGUGCGUGAACAUGAACAGGGACAGAUCUUGCAGAAGUGUCAUUCCGAAGCCUACGGAGGACACCACGUUGGAGAAAGAACUGCCCAUAAGGUAUUGCAAUUAGGUUUCUAUUGGCCCACUCUCUUCAAGGAUGCCCGUAAGUUUGUCUUGUCCUGUGACGAAUGCCAAAGAAUAGGGAACAUGAGUAAGCGUGAGGAGAUGACUAUGAACUAUUCACUUGUCAUUGAACGAUUUGAUGUCUGGGGCUUUGAUUAUAUGGGACCCUUCCCCAGUUCCAAUUGGUUCACUCACAUCUUAGUUGCUGUGGAUUACGUUACUAAGUGGGUAGAGGCUAUCGCCACUAAAAAUGCUGAUCACCACACCUCUAUUAAGAUUCUUAAAGAAGUCAUAUUCCCAAGAUUUGGAGUCCCUAGAUACUUGAUGNNNNNNNNNNGAGGUGCCGUCCGUUCGGCACUAGAUCGUGGGACAGAUCGCGGGACGGUUCGCGGGGCGGAUCGAGGGACGUGAGGACGUUCCACUACAUCAACCGCGUUCACUAACGCUUCUGCUGUACGGUCUACAAGGGUACAUAGAUCACACAUCCCCUCUCGUAGAUGGACAUCACCAUGAUAGGUCUUCGUGCGCGUAGGAAUUUUUUUGUUUCCCAUGCGACGUUCCUCAACAACUAAGUGGGUAGAGGCUAUCCCCACUAAAAAUGUUGAUCACCACACCUCUAUUAAGAUGCUUAAAGAAGUCAUAUUCCCAAGAUUUGGAGUCCCUAGAUACUUGAUGACUGAUGGCGGUUCACACUUCAUUCAUGGUGUUUUCCGCAAGAUGCUAGCUAAGUAUGAUGUCAACCAUAGAGUUGCAUCUCCUUACCAUCCUCAGUCUAGUGGUCAAGUGGAGUUGAGUAAUAGGGAGAUCAAGUUGAUCCUACAAAAGACCGUCAAUAGAUCUCGAAAGAACUCGUCUAGCAAACUUGACGAUGCACUAUGGGCUUAUAGGACUGCUUAUAAGAAUCCCAUGGGCAUGUCACUGUAUAAAAUGGUUUACGGUAAAGCCUGUCAUUUACCUCUUGAGCUGGAACACAAACCUUAUUGGGCAAUCAAAGAGCUCAACUUUGAUUUCAAACUUGCCGGUGAGAAGCGGUUGUUUGAUAUCAGCUCGUUAGAUGAAUGGAGAACCCAGGCAUACGAGAAUGCCAAGUUGUUCAAGGAAAAAGUUAAGAGAUGGCACGACAAACGAAUACAGAAACGAGAGUUCAAUGUAGGUGAUUAUGUCUUGCUAUACAAUUCUCGUUUGAGAUUCUUUGNNNNNNNNNNAAGAAUGCCAGGUUGUUCAAGGAAAAAGUUAAGAUAUGGCACGACAAAUGAAUACAGAAACGAUAGUUCGAUGUAGGUGAUUAUGUCUUGCUAUACAAUUCUCGUUUGAGAUUCUUUGCAGGCAAGCUUCUCUCUAAAUGGGAAGGUCCCUAUGUUAUCGAGGAAUUAUAUCGUUCCGGUGCCAUCAAAAUCAAUAGCACGGAAGGAAAUUUUCCUAGAGUGGUAAAUGGGCAAAGAAUCAAGCAUUACAUCUCUGGAACUCCCAUAAAUGUUGAGACCAAUAUCGUCAAUGUCAUAACUCCACAGGAGUAUAUAAGGGAUGUUUACCAGCCUUUUUCAGACCCUCAAAACGAAGAAGUAUCUCUUUUGGUAAGAAAUUGGACUUCAAUGCUUUUCCAAUAGGAAAUUUCUUCCGUUUUGGAAUUUUUGGAAAAUUAGAAAAAUAAAAAGCAGUCCGGAGAGCGAACGAGGCGGCCACAAGCCCUGCCACCGCCCCCUACCCCCAGGUGGCGGACGGCAAGCUUGUGGGCACCUCGUGUACCUCCCGGACUCUAUUUUCUUGCAGAGGACUCCUUUUGGCCCAGAAAAAAUCAAUAUAUAGUCGCCCGAAGGUUUUGAUCUCCGUAUCGCGCAGUUUUUCCUCUGUUUUUGUUUCGAGCCUGUUUCUGUGACAGAUCUAGAUCAUCAUGACUUCCCUAAACGCUCCUAAGGACAAGAUCUUCGAGAAGGUCAUCAAUCCCUACCUCAGGGAAGUGCUAAAACACCCUCAAUCUAUCAAGAUGAGCGAGGGGAUGUUGCACAUCCAUGAUGUUGAGGGGCCUAAGAAGACCGGAAGCAUGGAGACGAGGCUCGAAGCAAUGGAGCAACAAGUCUUCAAGUGCCAAGGGAUGGUGGAGCGUGGACUCAACACCAACCACACAAUGAUCACGGAGUUCACUAGCAAUCACAAAAUCGAUGCCAUUGAUAUUGGGAAACACCUCUCCAGGCUCUAUGACAGGGUUGAUCAACUUCAGGGCUAGAUCUAUGACCUGCAGAACCAAAACUGUGAGUAUGAGUACAAAUUUAAAAUAAUAAGGUUGGCUACAGAUUUGAGGAUUCCGACGACUCGUUCAUCCUGCCAUGAUGGAGCACCUAUGCCUUGGAAGACGGAGGAUCAGACUACUCCAACAACUCCACCACCAUCACCACCGAAGGAAGACAACUAAGCAUUGGUAUGGGCAAUCCCCUUGGCUUCUGCCAAGCUUGGGGGAGUUGCCCUGGUAUCGUAUCACCUUUAUAUCUUUUGCGUUUACCUUUGUUUUAGUUCUUUCCUUUUCAGUUUUUAUUUUCUUCUCUUAGAGGAAUAAGUCUUUAGUAUUUAGUUUGAGUCUUUUCCUUUUGUAUCUCCCCCGAUGUAUUCGAGCUUACGAGCUAUAUAAUAAAGAGUAUCUUAGUCAAGGGCUUUGCUUUGUGCCAUGAUCAAAAGUAUGAAAAGAACGAUAGCAUGAAAGAUCAUGAGACGAUCUUAUGGAAAGUGAUAACUUCACUUAUGACACGUAUGACGAUUGAAACUUGUUGAGAACAAAUCAACAUAGACCUCAGUCAUUGUUGCAAUUAAUAAGAAGUAAUAAGGAAAGAGAGGUUCACAUAUAAAUAUAUCAUCUUAGACACUUUUUACAAUUGUGAGCACUCACCAAACUAUUACAUGCUUAGGAGUAGAUGUUGGACAAGGAAGACAACAUAAUGAAUUGUGUUUGCUUGGUUCCAAACAAUGUUAUAUGAUUAGAGAUCCCUUAGCAUGUGACGAUUGCUUCCACCCCAUAUUAGCCAAAACUCCUGCACCAAGUAGAGAUACUACUUGUGCAUCCAUAAACCUCCAACCCAUUUUUGCCAUGAGAGUCCACCAUACCUACCUAUGGAUUGAAUAAGAUCCUUCAAGUAAGUUGUCAUCGGUGCAAGCAAUAAAAAUUGCUCUCUAAUAUGUAUGAUCUAUUAGUGUGUGAAAAAUAAGCUUUGUACGAACCUGUGAUGAGGAAGACAUAAAAGCGACAGACUGCAUAAUAAAGUUCUUUAUCACAGGAGGCAAUAUAAAGUGACGUUCCUCCGCACUAAGAGGACACGCAUUCAAACUUCAAAAGCGCAUGACAACCUCUGCUUCCCUCUGCGAAGGGCCUAUCUUGUACCUUUACUUUUUGCCCUUGUAAGAGUCAUGGUGAUCUUCACCAAUUCCCUAUUUUGCCUUUGUCUUGGCUACCUUCACAUGCUUGGGAAAGAUCUAUAUUCAUAUAUCAACUUGGAGUUGAGUACUCAUGCUUUAUUAUUGUUGACUUUACCCUUGAGGUAAACCGUUGGGAGGCAAAACUAUAAGCCCCUAUCUUCCUUUGUGUCCAGCUGAAACUUUGAAACCAUGAGUACCACGUGAGUUGUAACAAUUGUGGAAAACAAAAGAGAUGAUUGAGUAUGUGGGUUUGCCUUACAAGCUCUUAUUUGACUCUUUCUGAUGUUGUGAUAAAUUGCAAUUGCUUCAAUGACUAUGGACUAUUGUUGGUUACUUCUCGGUAAGGUUUUUGCUUCAUGCUUUGCUUUGUGAAGGAAUUGUUACUUUCCCAUAAGAGUCUUUAUGAUGUAUUGCUAUCCUAUAUGUGAUCAUGAUGCCCUCAUGUCCGUAUUAUGUUUUAUCAACACCUUCGUCCCUCAACAUGUGGACAUGUUUAUGGAACUUGGUUUUCGCUUGAGGACAAGCGAGGUCUAAGCUUUGAGGAGUUGAUACGUCCAUUUUGCAUCAUGCUUUCAUCUUGAUUUUUAUUGCUUUUUGGGCUGUUAUAUUACUUGUGGUGCCAUAUUUAUGCCUUUUCUCUCUUAUUUUGCAAGGUUUAUUUGAAGACGGAGAAUUCAGGCACCUGGAAUUCUGGACUAGAAAAGGAGCAAAUCUUAGUCCGCUAUUCUGCACAUCUCCAAAUGCCUUAAAAAGUUACGUGGAUUUUUUUGGGAUUAUAUAAAAAAUACUGGGUGAAAGAACUACCGGAGGGGGGUUACCAGGGAGCCACAAGCCCUGACACCGCCACCCCCUGGUGGCGGAGUGGGGGCUUGUGGGCUCCCUGACGGCCCACUAGCCCCCUCUUUUGCUAUAUGAAGUGUCUUGGUCCAGAAAAAAUCAGGAGGGAGCUUUUUCGUGGUUUCGCCGCCGCCACGAGGCGGAACUUGAGCAGNNNNNNNNNNACUGUAAAACAAGACUCCCCCCCGGAUUGAUGUUAGUAUGGACGGUACCCGAGGAUUCGGCUAGCUGUGGAGUGUGAUUGAUUGGUGGUGGGGGAGUUAAAACUUUACUUUUCUGUUUGGGAACCGCCUAUAGCAUGAGUAGCAUGGAAGAUAUUGAGAACUCUUGGUCAUUGCGUUGACAAUGAAAGCAUGAUGAUACGUCCAUUUUGCAUCAUGCUUUCAUGUUGAUUUUUAUUCCUUUUGGGGCUGUUAUAUUACUUGUGGUACCAUAUUUAUGUCUUUUCUCUCUUAUUUUCCAAGGUUUAUUUGAAGAGGGAGAAUUCAGGCAGCUGGAAUUCUGGACUGGAAAAGGAGCAAAUCUUAGUCCACUAUUCUGCACAUCUCCAAAUGCCCUGAAAAGUUACGUGGAUUUUUUUGGGAUUAUAUAAAAAAUACUGGGCAAAAGAACUACCGGAGGGGGGUUGCAUGGGAGCCACAAGCCCUGACACCGCCACCCCCCUGGUGGCGGAGUGGGGGCUUGUGAGCUCCCUGACGGCCCACUAGCCCCCCCUCUUUUUCUAUAUGAAGAGUCUUGGUCUAAAAAAAAUCAGGAGGGAGCCUUUUCGUGGUUUCGCCGCCGCCACGAGGCGGAACUUGAGCAGAUCCAAUCUAGAGCUCUCGCAGUACGAUCCUACCGGGGAAACUUCCCUCCCAGAGGGUGAAAUCAUCGCCAUCGUCAGCACCAACACUCCUCUCGUCCGAGGGGAGGCAUCUUCAUCAACAUCUUCAUCAGCACCAUCUCCUCUCCAAUCCCUAGUUCAUCUCUUGUAACCAAUCUCUGUCUCACGACUCCGAUUGGUACUUUCAAGGUUACUAGUAGUGUUGAUUACUCUUUGUAGUUGAUGCUAGUUGGANNNNNNNNNNNNNNNNNNNNNNNNNNNNNNNNNNNNNNNNNNNNNNNNNNNNNNNNNNNNNNNNNNNNNNNNNNNNNNNNNNNNNNNNNNNNNNNNNNNNGUGCUGAAAUUUAUUGUCACUUGUCACUAUGGAAACUGUUCCAUUGAGGAGUUUGUUCGGGGUAUCUUCACCACGAACGGAAGCACAAGGAGUUGUUCCUCAACCUGAGGUACCUACUGAAAAUAUCUUUUAUGAAAUUCCUUCGGGUAUGCUUGAGAAACUGCUGGCUAAUCCUUUCACAAGAGAUGGAUCUUCACAUCCAGACUUGCAUCUAAUCUAUGUAGAUGAAGUUUGUGGUUUAUUUAAGCUUGCAGGUUUGCCCGAGGAUGAGGUAUAGAAGAAAGUCUUUCCUUUAUGUUUGAAGGAUAAGGCGUUGACAUGGUAUAGGCUAUGUGAUGAUACUGGAUCAUGGGGCUACAAUCGGUUGAAAUUGGAAUUUCAUCAAAAGUUCUAUCCUAUGCAUUUAGUACAUCGUGAUCGGAACUUUAUUUAUAACUUUUGGCCUCAUGAUAGGGAAAGCAUAACUCAAGCUUGGGGGAGGCUUAAAUCAAUGCUAUAUUCAUGCCCCAAUCAUGAGCUCUCGAGAGAAAUCAUCACUCAAAACGUUUAUGCUCGGCUUUCUCAUGAAGAUCGUACCAUGCUUGACACUUCUUGUAUCGGUUCUUUUAUGAAGAAGGAUAUUGAUCACAAGUGGAAUUUAUUGGAAAGAAUCAAACACAACUCUGAAGAUUGGGAGCUGGAGGAAGGUAAGGAGUCAGGUAUGAAUUUCCAGUUUGAUUGCGUUAAAUCUUUUGUUUAGACAAACACUUCUAGAGAUUUUAGCGCUAAGUAUGGACUUGACUCUGAGAUAGUAGCUUCUCUAUGUGAAUAUUUUGCUCCUCAUGUUGAUCUUCCCAAAGAGAAGUGGUUUAAAUAUCAUCCUCCUGUAGAAAGCAACAUAGCCAAAACCAAUCUAGUUGAGGAGAAAGUCAUUGCUUUUAGUGAUCCUGUUGUUCCUUGUGCUUACACUGAGAAACCACCAUACCCUGCUAGGAUAAAGGAUUAUUCUAAAGCUCCAACUGUGAUACGUAGGGGUUACAUUAGACCACUUGCACCCCCUGAAGAGAUUAGAGUUGAACCUAGUGUUGCUAUUAUCAAAGAUCUCUUAGCCUAAGACAUAGAUGGGCAUGUUAUCAAAUUCUAUGAGGACUCCGCUAGAAUUGCUAAACCUCACGCGGAAGACAAACACGGACCUGUAGUUGGCCUGCCCGUUGUUUCUGUCAAGAUAGGAGAUCACUGUUACCAUGGUUUAUGUGAUAUGGGAGCUAGUGUUAGUGCAAUACACCGUUCUCUAUAUGAUGAAAUCAAAGAUGAGAUUGCACCUGCUGAGUUAGAACCCAUUGAUGUCACUAUUACGCUAGCUAAUAAAGACAUUAUUUGCCCUCAGGGAAUUGUGAGAGACGUAGAAGUCCUGUGUGGUAUGACGAAGUAUCCUACUGAUUUCCUCGUCCUUGGUACUGCACAAUAUAGCUUUUGUCCCAUCAUAUUCGGUAGACCCUUUCUCAACACUAUCAAUGCUCACAUUGAUUGCAUUAAGCAGACUGUCACAAUUAGUUUCGAGGGUGUGUCUCAUGAAUUUAACUUCUCCNNNNNNNNNNNNNNNNNNNNNNNNNNNNNNNNNNNNNNNNNNNNNNNNNNNNNNNNNNNNNNNNNNNNNNNNNNNNNNNNNNNNNNNNNNNNNNNNNNNNAAAGGAUUAGCCAGCAGUUUCUCAAGCAUACCCGAAGGAAUUUCAUAAAAGAUAUUUUCAGUAGGUACCUCAGGUUGAGGAACAACUCCUUGUGCUUCCGUUCGUGGUGAAGAUACCCCGAACAAACUCCUCAAUGGAACAGUUUCCAUAGUGACAAGUGACAAUAAAUUUCAGCACAGUAUAAAAAUGUUUCCUUACCAAUUUCCACUUACCAAAGGCGCUUCACUCCCCGGCAACGGCGCCAGAAAAGAGUCUUGAUGACCCACAAGUAUAGGGGAUCAAUCUUAGUCCUUUCGAUAAGUAAGAGUGUCGAACCCAACGAGGAGCGGAAGGCUCUGAUAAACGGAUUUCAGCAAGGUAAUAACUGCAAGCACUGAAAGUAGCGGUAACAAGUGAUUGUGUAGUGAGGUGAAACAUAGCAAGCAAAGAGUAACAAGUAACAAGUAGUAGCAACGGUACAGCAAGUGGCCCAAUCCCUUUUGUAUCAAGGGACAAGCGUGAACAAAGUCUUAUAGGAGGAAAAAUGCUCCUGAGGACACACGGGAAUUUCUGUCAUGCUAGUUUCAUCAUGUUCAUAUGAUUCGCGUUCGUUACUUUGAUAGUUUGAUAUGUGGGUGGACCGGCGCUUGGGUACUGCCCUUACUUGGACAAGCAUCCCACUUAUGAUUAACCUCUCUCGCAAGCAUCCGCAACUACAAAAGAAGAAUUAAGACAACGUCUAACCAUAACAUUAAACUAGUGGAUCCAAAUUAGCCCCUUACAAAGCAAAACUGGCGUUUGGGUACUGCCCUUACUUGGACAAGCAUACCACUUAUGAUUAACCUCUCUCGCAAUCAUCCGCAACUACAAAAGAAGAAUUAAGACAAUGUCUAACCAUAGCAUUAAACUAGUGGAUCCAAAUCAGCCCCUUACGAAGCAACGCAUAGACUAGGGUUUAAGCUUCUUCACUCCAGCAACCCAUCAUCUACUUACUACUUCCCAAUGCCUUCCUCUAGGCCCAAAUAUGGUGAAGUGUUAUGUAGUCGACGUUCACAUAAUACCACUAGAGGAAAAGACAACAUACAUCAUAUCAAAAUACUGAACGAAUAUCAAAUUCACAUGACUAUUAUUAGCAUGACUUAUCCCAUGUCCUCAGGUACAAAAGUAACUACUCACAAAGCAUAAUCGUAAUUAUGAUCAGAGGUGUAAUGAAUAGCAUCAAGGAUCUGAACAUAAACUCNNNNNNNNNNNNNNNNNNNNNNNNNNNNNNNNNNNNNNNNNNNNNNNNNNNNNNNNNNNNNNNNNNNNNNNNNNNNNNNNNNNNNNNNNNNNNNNNNNNNUAGGACCCUUUCCAAAUAUUACUUGUAAAUCAUUGACCAUAUCAAGUAUGUGAUCACCAGUACGGAGGGCGGGCUUCUUCCGGUGAUCUGCCUCACCUUUGAAAUGCUUUCCUUUCUUUCGACAUUGAUGGUUGGUCGAAAGAAAUUGACGAUGCCCCAUAUACACAUUCUUCCUGCAUUUUUCCAAAUAUAUAUUGUCGGUAUCAUCUAAACAGUGUGUGCAUGCGUUGUAUCCCUUGUUUGUGUGUCCUAUAAGGUUACUGAGAGCAAGCCAAUCGUUGAUGGUUACAAACAGAACGCAUGUAGGUCAAAUUCCUCCUGUUCGUUCUCAUCCCACACACGUACACCAUUUCCAUUCCAUAGCUGUAAAAGUUCAUCAACUAAUGGCCUUAGGUAAACAUCAAUGUCAUUGUCGGGUUGCCUAGGGCCUUGGAUGAGCACUGGCAUCAUAAUGAACUUCCGCUUCAUGCACAACCAAGGAGGAAGGUUAUACAUACAUAGAGUCACAUGCCAUGUGCUAUGCUUGCUGCUCUGCUCCCCAAAAGGAUUAACGUCAUCUGCACUUAAACCAAACCAUAUGUUCCUUGGGUAACGUGUAAAGUCGCUCCACUUUAUCUCGAUCUUUCUCCACUGCGACCCGUCAGCAGGUGCUCUUAACUUCCCGUCUUUCUUACAGUCUUUUAUGUGCCAUUGCAUCAACUCGACAUGAUUUUUGUUUCUGAACAUACAUUUCAACCGUGGUAUUAUAGGAGCAUACCACAUCACCUUGGCAGGAACCAUCUUCCUGGUGCACUGGCCCUCAACAUCACCAGGGUCAUCUCUUCUGAUCUUAUACCGCAAUGCGCCGCAUACCGGGCAUGCGUUCAAAUCCUCGUACGCACCGCGGUAGAGGAUGCAUUCAUUAGGGCAUGCAUGUAUCUUCAGCACCUCCAAUCCUAGAGGGCACAGAACCUUCUUCACUUCAUACAUACUGCCGGGCAAUUCGUUAUCCUUUGGAUGCUUCUUUUUUAUUAAUUUCAGUAGCGAACUAAAUGCCUUGUGAGAUACACCAUUGUCUGCCUUCCAUUGCAGCAAUUCCAGUGUGGUAUCGAGCUUUGUGUUGUCAUCUUNNNNNNNNNNNNNNNNNNNNNNNNNNNNNNNNNNNNNNNNNNNNNNNNNNNNNNNNNNNNNNNNNNNNNNNNNNNNNNNNNNNNNNNNNNNNNNNNNNNNUGUCGAACCUCUCAUCCCUCUGGAUGGUGGCGCAGGGCAAGGGGAAACCUCUGUCGUUGCGAUGCCGGUUGAGGAGGAAGUUAAUGAUGAUGAUCAUGAAACUCCGGUUCAAGUUUCUGUCGAACCACGCAGGUCGACGAGACCAUGUGUUUCUCCAGAGUGGUACGGUAAUCCCGUCUUAUCAAUCAUGUUGUUGGACAACAAUGAACCUGCAAAUUAUGAAGAAGCAAUGGUGGGCCCAGAUUCCAACAAAUGGCUAGAAGCCAUGAAGUCCGAGAUAGGAUCCAUGUAUGAGAACAAAGUAUGGACUUUGGAAGUACUGCCUGAGGGUCGCAAGGCUAUUCAGAACAAAUGGAUCUUUAAGAGGAAGACGGACGCUGACGGCAAUGUGACCGUUUAUAAAGCUCGACUUGUGGCAAAGGGUUUUUCACAAGUUCAAGGAGUUGACUUCGAUGAGACAUUCUCACCCGUAGCGAUGCUUAAGUCCGACAGAAUCAUGCUAGAAAUAGCUGCAUUUUUCGAUUAUGAAAUCUGGCAGAUGGAUGUCAAAACGGCGUUCCUUAACAGUUUCCUUAAGGAAGAGUCAUAUAUGAUGCAACCCGAAGGUUUUGUCGAUCCUAAGAAUGCUAACAAGGUCUGCAAGCUCCAGCGAUCCAUUUAUGGACUGGUGCAAGCAUCUCGGAGUUGGAACAAACGCUUUGAUGAGGUGAUCAAAGCAUUUGGGUUUAUACAAGUGGUUGGAGAAUCUUGUAUUUACAAGAAAGUGAGUGGGAGCUCUGUGGCGUUUCUAAUAUUAUAUGUGGAUGACAUAUUGCUGAUUGGAAACAACGUAGAGUUUUUGGAGAGCAUAAAGGAUUACUUGAAUAAAAGUUUCUCUAUGAAGGACCUAGGAGAAGCUGCUUACAUUCUAGGCAUUAAGAUCUACAGGGAUAGAUCAAAACGCCUGAUAGGACUUUCACAAAGCACAUACCUUGAUAAAGUUUUGAAGAGGUUCAAAAUGGAACAGUCCAAGAAAGGGUUCUUGCCAGUUCUACAAGGUACGAGAUUGAGUAAGACUCAGUGCCCAGCAACUGAUGAAGAUAGAGAGCAUAUGCGCACUGUCCCCUAUGCUUCAGCCAUAGGUUNNNNNNNNNNNNNNNNNNNNNNNNNNNNNNNNNNNNNNNNNNNNNNNNNNNNNNNNNNNNNNNNNNNNNNNNNNNNNNNNNNNNNNNNNNNNNNNNNNNNGAUGAUGGAGAUCAUGGUGUCACGCCGGUGACGAUGAUGAUCAUGCGAUGCCUGAAGAUGGAGAUUGAAAGAGCAAGGAUGAUAAUGGCCAUAUCAUGUCACUAUAUGAUUGCAUUGUGAUGUUUAUCAUGUUUUUCAUCUUAUUGCUUAGAACGACGGUAGCAUAAUAAGAUGAUCCCUCUUAAAAUUUUGAGAACGUAUUCCCCUAAGUGUGCACCGUUGCGAAGGAUCGUAGUCUCGAAGCACCACGUGAUGAUCGGGUGUGAUAGAUUCUAACGUUCGCAUACAGCGGGUGUAAGCCAGAUUUACACACGCGAAACACCUAGGUUGACUCGACGAACUUAGCAUGUACAGACAUGACCUCGAAUACAAGAGACCGAAAGGUCGAACAUGAGUCGUAUGGUUGAAUACGAUCAGCAUGCAGUUGCUCACCAUGGUGACUAGUCCGUCUCACGUGAUGAUCGGACACGGGUUAGUCAACAUGGAUCAUGUAUCACUUAGAUGACUAGAGGGAUGUCGAUUUAAGUGGGAGUUCAUACUUAAUUUGAUUAAAUGAACUUAAUUGUCAUGAACUUAGUCUAAAAGUUGUCUUUAUAAAUAUUGUAGAUGGCCAACGUCAACCUCAAUUUCAACGCAUUCCUAGAGAAAAACAAGCUGAAAGAUGAUGGUAGCAACUAUGCGGACUGGGUUCGCAACUUGAAGCUCAUCCUUGAAGCAGCUAAAAAGGCUUAUGUCCUUGAUGCGCCGCUAGGUGACCCUCCCGCUCCCGCAGCAGCCCAGGACAUUCUGAACGUCUAGCAAACGCGGAGUGAUGAAUACUCUCUGGUUAGGUGUGGCAUGUUAUACAGUUUAGAAACGGGGCUCCAAAGGCGUUUUGAGCAACAAGGGGCAUAUGAGAUGUUCCAGGAGCUGAAGCUAGUUUUUCAAGCUCAUGCCCGUGUCGAGAGAUAUGAAGUCUCCGACAAGUUCUUUAGCUGUAAGAUGGAGGAGAACAGUUCUGUCAGUGAGCACAUACUCAAAAUGUCUGGGUUACACGGUCGUCUGACUUCACUUGGAGUCGAACUUCCGGAUUAUGCUAUAAUUGACAUAAUCCUCCAGUCUCUCCCACCAAGCUACAAAGGCUUUGUGCUUAACUACAACAUGCAAGGGAUGGAGAAGACCAUUCCCGAGUUGUACUCGAUGCUCAAGUCUGCAGAAGUAGAAAUCAAGAAAGAGCAUCAAGUGCUGAUGGUCAACAAGACCACUAGUUUCAAGAAAGGCAAGGGUAAUAAGAACUUCAAAAAAGACGGCAAAGCUGCGCCCGGUAAGCCAGAUGCCGGGAAGAAGAAAAAUAACGGACCCAAGCCUGAGACUGAGUGCUUCUAUUGCAAGGGAAAGGGUCACUGGAAGCGGAACUGCCCCAAAUACUUAGCGGACAAGAAGGCCGGCAACGUUAAAGGUAUAUGUGAUAUACAUGUUAUUGAUGUGUACCUUACCAGCGCUCGUAGUAGCUCCUGGGUAUUUGAUACCGGUGCCGUUGCUCACAUUUGCAACUCAAAGCAGGAACUGCGGAAUAAGCGGAGACUAGCCAAGGACGAGGUGACGAUGCGCGUCGGGAAUGGUUCAAAGGUCGAUGUGAUCGCCGUCGGCACGCUACCUCUACAUCUACCAUCGGGAUUAGUUUUAAACCUUAAUAAUUGUUAUUUAGUACCAGCUUUAAGCAUGAACAUUGUGUCAGGGUCUUGCUUAAUGCGAGACGGCUACUCAUUUAAGUCAGAGAAUAAUGGUUGUUCUAUUUAUAUGAGUGAUAUGUUUUAUGGUCAUGCUCUGCUGGUGAAUGGUUUAUUCUUGAUGAAUCUCGAUCGUGAUGUUACACAUAUUCAUAGUUUGAGUACCAAAAGAUGUAAAGUUGAUAAUGAUAGUCCCACAUACUUGUGGCACUGCCGCCUUGGUCACAUCGGCGUUAAGCGCAUGAAGAAGCUCCAUACUGAUGGACUAUUAGAGUCUCUUGAUUUUGAAUCAUUUGACACAUGCGAACCGUGCCUCAUGGGCAAGAUGACUAAGACUCCAUUCUCAGGAAUAAUGGAGAGAGCAACCGACUUAUUGGAAAUAAUACAUACUGAUGUGUGUGGUCCAAUGAACGUUGAAGCUCGCGGUGGUUAUCGUUAUGUUCUCACUCCCACCGAUGAUUUGAGUAGGUAUGGGUAUAUCUACUUGAUGAAGCACAAAUCUGAGACGUUUGAAAAGUUCAAGGAAUUUCAGAGUGAGGUUGAGAAUCAACGUGACAGAAAAAUUAAAUGUCUACGAUCUGAUCGUGGAGGAGAAUAUUUGAGUCACGAGUUGGCACACACCUAAGGAAGUGUGGAAUCGUUUCACAACUGACGCCGNNNNNNNNNNNNNNNNNNNNNNNNNNNNNNNNNNNNNNNNNNNNNNNNNNNNNNNNNNNNNNNNNNNNNNNNNNNNNNNNNNNNNNNNNNNNNNNNNNNNUAGUUUAGUGGGAGUUGGACCUCCUUAUAAGGGAGGAUGUUUUCACACAUGUAUGAGCUUGAGAACAAGAGAGACAUACACGCGCGCUCCUCCUCCUCCGCCGCCCGCCUCGCCUCGUCACGACGCGCCGCGGGUUGCUCCCGUCCUGCCCGUCCUGCGGCGUGCAACGUUCGUCGGGACAGUAGGCCUCCGAAACUCCGUCUCUUCGAGUCCUGUACGGGAGAAGGGCGAUAAGGUUUUUGGGGAGCGCUCAGCGCGACUACUGGCUUCCAUCACGGACUCCGACGACUUCUUCCCCGACGUCGACCACCUCUUUGGUACUAUGGCCAACGACAACGCCAACACCAAUGCUCCUGCUGCUGCAACUCAGGACGUACUUUUGUGCUUCUUCUUUGAAUUCCUAUCACACCUUUUUGCUAUAGUUUCUCUGCUAGAUAUGUUAUGUUUCUACUCAUUACUCCAUAUGAUACCUUAUCUUUGUAGAACGGUUUUACAUAUGCUCUUUUCUGGAUCCUACGUGCGCAUGUCUUGUGUCUUCUCAUCUCUAUAUAGCUUGUCUUCUUUCGUUGUUGUUAUUUUGGUUAUGUUUUUCCUAGUUUUUCCUGUAAUAAAAUCCUAUGGUAAAUUGCUCAUAUUUCCAUCAAUCCAAAAACCUUAUUAUAGGCAAUUUACCCCGAGUGGUUUUGCUGCCUCCAUGAGACCUCCUAUNNNNNNNNNNNNNNNNNNNNCAAUUUUCCCCGAGUGGUUUUGCUGCCUCCAUGAGGCCUCCUAUGUUUGAGGGUGUUCACUACAAGAGGUGGCGCGUGAGAGCUGUUCUAUGGUUUCAAACCAUGAGCUGCUAUGACGCCACUCUUGGCAAACCUGAAGGAGAUCAUGAUGCUCAACAUGAGCUAGCUUUUCAGAAAAUGGAUACCUUGUUUAAGGCUGCUCUCUUGAGCGUUCUUGGUGAGAACAUAGUUGAUGCUUAUGCGUCAAUUGAUAAUGGAAAAGAUAUGUGGGAUGCACUCGAGACCAAGUUUGGGGUCUCGGAUGCUGGCACUAAGCUGUACAUCAUGGAACAAUUNNNNNNNNNNNNNNNNNNNNNNNNNNNNNNNNNNNNNNNNNNNNNNNNNNNNNNNNNNNNNNNNNNNNNNNNNNNNNNNNNNNNNNNNNNNNNNNNNNNNAAUUAUCUUGAACAUAGUCUAAGUCCACUUUGAAUAUAUUUGUGUUGUAGAUCAUGGCUCACACGACAGUCAUCCUGAAUUUUAAUACGUUCCUAGAGAAAGCUAAGUUGAAAGAUGAUGGAAGCAACUUUGUAGACUGGGCUCGUAAUCUUAAGCUAAUCUUACAAGCUGGGAAGAAGGAUUAUGUCCUUAAUGCUGCGCUAGGAGAUGAACCACCCGCUACGGCUGAUCAGGAUGUUAAGAACGCUUGGUUAGCACGUAAGGAGGACUACUCAGUAGUUCAAUGUGCAGUCUUGUAUGGCUUAGAACCGGGACUUCAACGUCGCUUUGAGCGUCAUGGAGCAUUUGAGAUGUUCCAGGAGUUGAAGUUUAUCUUUCAGAAGAACGCCCGAAUCGAGAGGUAUGAGACCUCCGAUAAAUUCUAUGCUUGCAGUGUCCUUAAUGCUGCGUUAGGAUAUGAACCACCCGCUACGGCUGAUCAGGAUGUUAAGAUCGUUUGGUUAGCACGUAAGGAGGACUACUCAAUAGUUCAAUGUGCAGUCUUGUAUGGCUUAGAACCGGGACUUCAACGUCGCUUUGAGCGUCAUGGAGCAUUUGAGAUGUUCCAGGAGUUGAAGUUUAUCUUUCAGAAGAACGCCCGAAUCGAGAGGUAUGAGACCUCCGAUAAAUUCUAUGCUUGCAAGAUGGAGGAGAACUCGUCUGUCAGUGAACAUGUGCUCAAAAUGUCUGGGUACUCAAACCGUCUAGCUGAGCUGAUCUGUGAGUGAACAUGUGCUCAAAAUGUCUGGGUACUCAAACCGUCUGGCUGAGCUGGGGAUUGAACUCCCACAAGAAGCUAUCACUGACAGAAUUCUUCAAUCACUGCCGCCAAGCUAUAAAGGCUUUGUGUUGAACUACAACAUGCAAGGGAUGAACAAGUCUCCCGGCGAGUUGUUUGCGAUGCUGAAAGUCGCAGAGUCUGAACUCCGUAAAGAGCAUCAAGUGUUGAUGGUGAAUAAGACCACUAGUUUCAAGAGAAACGUCAAAGGCAAGAAGGGUAAUGCAAAGAAGAGCGGCAAGCCUGUUGCCAAUCCGACGAAGAAACCCAAAGCUGGACCUAAGCCUGAAACAAAGUGUUACUAUUGCAAGGGUAUGGGUCACCUAAGCCGGAAACAGAGUGUUACUAUUGCAAGGGUAUGGGUCACUGGAAGCGCAAUUGCCCCAAGUAUCUGGCAGAUAAGAAGACGGCCAAAGAAAAAUCAGGUAUAUUUGAUAUACAUGUUAUUGAUGUGNNNNNNNNNNNNNNNNNNNNNNNNNNNNNNNNNNNNNNNNNNNNNNNNNNNNNNNNNNNNNNNNNNNNNNNNNNNNNNNNNNNNNNNNNNNNNNNNNNNNUUCUCCAAACGCUACGGAGGAGGAGGAGGAGGAAGAGCAGGGCUGUGCCGAGGGAGGAAGAAAACUUGUGUGUUUGCAGCCACAAACCCUUGGGUAUAUAUAUAGGAGGAAUAGGAGGAGGAGGGCCGGCCAGCCUAGGGUUUCCCCUAGGUGGUGCGGCGGCCAUGGUNNNNNNNNNNNNNNNNNNNNNNNNNNNNNNNNNNNNNNNNNNNNNNNNNNNNNNNNNNNNNNNNNNNNNNNNNNNNNNNNNNNNNNNNNNNNNNNNNNNNNNNNNNNNNNNNNNNNNNNNNNNNNNNNNNNNNNNNNNNNNNNNNNNNNNNNNNNNNNNNNNNNNNNNNNNNNNNNNNNNNNNNNNNNNNNNNNNNNNNNNNNNNNNNNNNNNNNNNNNNNNNNNNNNNNNNNNNNNNNNNNNNNNNNNNNNNNNUUUAUAUAAUGACCAAGGUGGUAUUCAAAGUAUUAUCCAAAGAUUGGUCAUAAAGACACAAGGUUGAUCAAGACUAAGCAGAGAGUAAAUCAAGAUGAUCAACACACAAAGUGUACAAGAUGUACCGAGAGGGAUCAAGUGAUCCCAUGGUAUGGUAAGCAUUGUCCAUAACGCUUUUGUGUACUAACCCAUGGUCCUUGUGAGAGUUCUAUGUGGGGUUAGGUGUGUCUCCAUGGGUUUGCAUCAAGAGGAAGAUCUCAUUCAAGCUAUGAAGGAUGACAUCAAGUGGUGAUCUUCAUCAAGAUUGCGGUGUGCAAGUUCAAGUGGAGCAUCACGAAGAUAUCAUGCUUGAAGCUUGUUGUCCAUUAUGGUGGCAAUUGACUUGUGAAGANNNNNNNNNNNNNNNNNNNNNNNNNNNNNNNNUUUAUUAAAUAGGCCAUUCAAGAUGUGCUGAAGAGUGGCUCACCCAUAGUGAGUAUGGGGGAGCAAUCAACUAGUCUUCGUCAAACCAAGGCAAUCAAGAAAGGUGGUCCAUCUUGAGGAAGCCAAGAUCAUCAUCAUCUAGCUCAAGAGGACUAGGUGCAAGGUAUAGGUUUGCCCUUGAUAGGUUUCCAUUUUAGGAUAGAUUGUCGUACUGUUAAGGGGGGCUCUCAAGUGAGUAGCUUGAUNNNNNNNNNNNNNNNNNNNNNNNNNNNNNNNNNNNNNNNNNNNNNNNNNNNNNNNNNNNNNNNNNNNNNNNNNNNNNNNNNNNNNNNNNNNNNNNNNNNNGGAAGGGAUGUAGUGGGACCUGAAGUCACGACAAAACUCGUCCCAAGACAUCACCAUGUCGCCUCUGGAGUCCUUAAGCUGCUGCCACCAAAUAGAAGCCUGUCCCUUCAACUGAAACGCUGCAAACUUGACAUAGUCCUCCGGACGCACAUUGCUACACUCGAAAUGCUUGUUCAUAUCACGGAUCCAAUCUUCCGCAUCAAACGGCUGGUCGCAAGAAGUGAACGUCUUAGGUUGGUUUGACAGGAACUGACUCAGAUUGGCGAAGUGAUUGCCACCCUGCUGGAAAUUUCCCCGCUCAUGAUUGGCUCUCUCAAGUGAUUGCCACCCUGCUGGAAAUUUCCCUGCUCAUGAUUGGCUCUCUCCUGGAUCAACUGCAACAGCAUCUGAGUGUUUGCAUUAGUAGCUGCCAUCAUUGCCUGCCAGGCCUCUACAGGAGGAGGCGGCGGCGGAGGAGGAGGAGGAGGUGGAGGCGGCAUAUCCUCACGCGAUGGGGUCUGACGAGUCGGUGGAGCCAUCCUGAAGACGGACAGCAUAUUAGUCCACAGAAUAAUUGAAGAUAUUGCUGAAUCAAAACACAGAAUAUCUGAACAGAAUUUAGCAUUGCACUCGAACAAUCAUAGCAAGAGUGCAUCCUCAAAGUAAUAGACGACAAAAUUCCGAUAAGGACCACUUCAAACAAGUGUGAGCUAGAACCGCUCGGAACAAACAUAUGAUCGAGAUUUCCCAAACCUCAAUCAAGCGUCCGUAGGAAGAUAGUCCUAUAAGAUACUACAAGAUAUCCCACCUAUGAAUUCCCGAAACAACUGGUCAUGCAAUCAGGUACACGGAUACAAGGAGUAUUUCACACAACUCCUAAACUAACCCAUCACCUGUAUCACAUACACGGAUACAAGGAGUAUUUCACACAACUCCUAAACUAACCCGUCACCUGUAUCACAUCCUUCAACACACAACCAGCAUCUCGGACCUUCAUCUACAACAGAUCCUCGUGAUCACAACGAUAUCAAGUGUGGUAAUACCCCCGAACAAUCUACACCAUUACUGGGGACAUUGGGGUUAUCUCACCACUACCCGUAUUGAAGCAAUAACGAACACCCUCCGUUCUUAGAUACUCAGAAAUCUGAAUGAUGGCGAUGUGCGCGAUAAUCCCUUGAGCUCAACUCCCCUGAUACUUAGAGCAGAUAUGAGGCUCCAGGACAGGAUUCCGUCACAUCAAAAUCAUAUAGAUUUCACAAAUACCCGCGUGAUCCUAAAAAAAAAUUUGAGCGAGAAAAGGAGUAGAGUUAAAGAUUUCCUAAGACGGGAACCUCACCAAAGCAAAGAGAAAAGGAGUAGAGUUAAAGAUUUCCUAAGACGGGAACCUCACCAGAGCAAAGAAGAGGAGAAAAAAGAAUCCUACUCUCCGAUAUAACUACGACUCAAAACAUUUUCUAGACUCGACUCGGCCAAAUACGAUCACACAAAGGCUCCUAUGGUCGUAAGGCUCUGAUUACCAACUUGUAACGACCAAGAUGCGGUCCUUUCCGAUCUGGGGGUCGAGGCCCCCGAAUAGGAAAGAAGCGCAUCUAAGCGUUUCGCAAGCAAGUAGCAUAGCACAAAUAAUAAUAAAAGUAGACAAUUCGGGAUUCAACUGUCUUCUCAUUAAUAACUCAGAGUACAUCACAGAUACAAACAAGGUAGUUCCGCUACGGACUACAAAACAUGAAAAUGCUAUGCUACCCUGCCUGCAGGCCCACGAUCACGACCACGCCUCAGUCCUCUGGAUAGUUCACGUAGAGGCGGUCUGUCUCCUCGUUGACUACCACGCCAGCUGGGUGCCGUCGGGAUCAUCUGUCUCUGGGGUACCUGUACCUGCUGGGAGUUUCGGAGGAAUCCGUGAGUCACGGGGACUCAGCAAUCUAAGACCUUGGUGCCAGAACUAGCCAUGUUAUUAGGAAGGGUAAGGGUGAAGUGUAUAAGGCUGCAGCAUCCUAAGCUUGUUUUAGUGGCUAACUUACGCAAAGUAAUUGUGCAGGUGGUCUACACUAGCGGUCGGGAUUACUUGAUCACUAAGUGAUCCUGAACACCUACCUACGGCAUUCAUAACCCCACCGUGUUCCCGAUCGAAGAGAGAUCUUCGAGGGGCAGUCACGGUUACGCACACAGUUGGCAAUUUUAUUAGCUUGUGUUAAAGUUUUCUAAUACCGGAUGUUAACAAAAUAUUCCAAGUUGCCACAUAACCGUGGGCACGGCUUUCCGAAAUAUUAAACCCCGCAGAGGUGCUCCAAUUAGUCCAUCACAAACGAACACAGGCCGCAAAGGCAUCCUCUAUCACGAAUCUCGUGAUCUCGUCGGAUUCCCUAGAGGAAAACCUCAACUCUAGGGGAAACCAAAGCUUCACUGGGAUUCCUAUACGCAAGAUAUACCGCUAAGGUAAGACAAGGCUAGCAGGACCUCCCGUCGUGUCGACGACCCUGAUAAGAGCCGCGUAUCUCAGUCUCAGGACACGACGGAUGAGCUACACGUCGGGAUGGCUAAACCUUUGGGUGACCAGUGGGACCCCGGACAUCGCUCAGGUGGGGCCAACACUCAUGAGGAGCACUGGCCCGGGUUGUUGAUUAAAUUCCUCGGGGUAGCUAUUCCCUAUGCAGAUUAUUAUGUGAUUAGCAGAUUAAAACCAAUGUUGGGUCCUGUCGAACAAGCCUUAGCACUACGCGAUUUAUCGAGGCGGUCCCCAUAACAACCCCGAACGUCUUAGGAGCGAUCAUUAUGGAAUCAAACACCAGUAACCGGUAACUAAGGCGGCAAUAACGGAACAAAGCACCCGGCAAAAGGAUAGGACUCCCGUCAUUUACCAAGUAUAUAGGUGCAUUAAUUAAAUAACAGAAUUUAAGAUAAUGAUAACAAGCUCAUGUUAUUACAUGAGUCAAGGCACCUCCAACUAGCAACGCUAUCAUUAGUAGCUGAGAAAAGCCUACUUAGCCAUACAAGUUUUGCUAGGAAGGGGAACGGUGUUUGGGCUCAUGUCAUAUCAAGAGGCAAUUUAAUUCAGUGGUAGGCAGCGAGCAAUAUGACAUGGAAAAUAAACUAGCACAACAAGUCUAGAGAUGGAAUCAAGGUCAUAUCAUCUUGCCUGUGAUAUCCUCGGCUUGGAAUGGUUCUGGUUCGUCCUGCACGUACUCUCCUGACUCCACGUAUUCGUUCUCCGAUCCCGGUGC